rnacentral:lncRNA from 1 species
UUUGACAGUGUCUGUGAAGUUGGAGAAUUGUUUUUCAUCAGAAGGUGAUAAAGAGAGCUCGUAGGAAGUUGAGUUGACAUCAGCAAAACCACACAUAAGGUGAGUGAAGAGAGCAGAAUUUACAUCUGAAAUGAAGAACUCAUCGCCUGAAUCCCAGUAACCAGCUCUGAUUAAAGUUUGUGCUCUUGUAGGAAGCGAUUCUGAAAAUAUAAAAAUGUGGAGGACAAGAAUGAUAAUUUUGGAUGCCAUUGUGGGAACCUGGCUGCUGGAGGCAUACCUAGUAUGUCAUUAUAUAUGUAAUAUUCUAGGUAAAUCCCACAUCGGCAAAAUAUGGGUGAGAUACUGGGUUUAUAAGGGGUGAUUCACACUUUAAUUGGCAAGGCGCAUUUUGGGGGGUAUGGGCACCCCAGAAACAAAACCGUAAAGUGGAUAAUAUCCUAUCAUGUUUGGGUUGGAUCAUGACACUAUGGUAUCAGAGCGGCUCCGCGUGUCCUCUUGAGCGAUGGCGAAUCAGAGCGGCCCCAUGUGUCCUCUUGAGCGAUGGUGGGACAAACGUCCUCGCUCGUUGAGUCCCCAAGGGGGGUGAAUGUAACACCCUAGAUAAAUCUCACAUCGGAAAAACACGAGAGAGAUGCUGGGUUUAUAAAGAGUGACCACACUUUAAUUGGCAAGACACAUUUUGGGGUGUAUGGGUGCCCCAGAAACAAACUUGUGCGGGCCUUCUAAAGGCCCAAAGCGGAAGACACGUUUUGGGAUGCAUGGGCACCCCAGAAACAAACCUGUGCGGGCCUUAAGAAGGCCCAAAGAGGAAGACACAUUUUAGGGUGUAUGGGCCCCCCAAAAACAAACUUGUGCAGGCCUUCUUAAGGCGCAAAGCGGACAAUAUCUUGCUAGGUUUAGGUUAGGUCAUGACAUUAUUACAUUAUGGUAUUAGAGCGGCUCUACAUGUCCUCUUGAGCGAUGGUGGGGCAAACCUCAGCGAGGACGCUGAGUCCCUAAGGGGAUGUAUGUAACACCCUAGGCAAAUCUCACAGGGGGUGUAUGUAACACGUUAGGCAAAUCCCACAUCGACAAAGCACGGGAGAGAUGUUAGGUUUAUAAGGGGUGAUCCACACCUUAAUUGGCAAGACAUGUUUUGAGGUGUAUGGGAGCCUUAGGAACAAAAUUGUGCGGGUCUUAUUAAGGCUCAAAACGGACAAUAUCUUGUCAAGUCUGGGUUGAGUCAUGACAAUAAAUAUGUACACACACAAAAUGUAAUGAAGAAAUUAUCUUAUACCGAUUGAGAUUAGUUAUUGCACUAAUAAUACAAACUUGAGUCAACUUUCAACUUAUGAGCUUAGUCCAUAAGUUUUUAUACGAUAUCAAAAUCAAGUUACGGAUGAGGGACCCUAUAAUACCUUCCAACCUAACUUAAUAAUUAAUCUUAACCAAUGUGACAUACUUUUUCUAUCACUUUAUCACGUCCAAGUUGAUCUUUUGGCUUUGUCUUUUUUUCAUGAUAAUAAGUGAUAAGAUUGAAGUUCUUAAAUUAAGCUAUGACUUUUUACCUCCGCUUAGCUUGACUUCUGAAGUUGGAGACUCGUUCUUUUGUAUUGAGUUUGUUGGUAUUUAAAUGAACUCGGAGUCUUCGACGUGUUUCUGAAGCAAAGUCAUUAUUCCUCAAUGACUCCAUCCAUGCAGUUGGAAGGCAAAAUCUUGUGAAAAUAUUUUCUAAGUUGAUUCAGUCCAUGAUCAAUGUGCACAAAACGCAAAAUCUUGCGAAAAUCAAACCCGUCCUCACUCAUGAGCUCGAUUUCUAGCUUAAACUCCUCCUUACUCAUGACAUACUAUAUAAAAUAUCGAGUUGACCUCACUUUAUUAAAUUACAGCUUGUUAUUGAAUUGAGUGUUGCCUUAAUUAAGCUAUCAACUUAAUAAAGUGAUUGUCAUUAAGAAAUACACUUAGGUAGUGUUUACUUUUUGGAUUGGAGUGGAAAUUCUGAGAAGUGUGAAUCCUAGGAUUAGGAGUGUGGAGUGGGAGUGGGAGUAGGUUGUUUACUUACACUGGAAUGAAAAUAUGGAAUGAAUAUUAGAAUCUAAUUUAUGUGUUUACUUUGUCUUGGAUUGGGAGUAAAUAGUUUCAAAUUACAAUUUUAUCCUUAUUUAAAGAAUUAUAGUUUUUAAUUACAAAGUUAAUAAAAAAUAUAUUUAAUGAAUAAAAAUUUAUUUUAUUAUUUUAUUAUAUUUGUAAAUUUAUAAUAAUUAUUAAUAUUCUUAAUUAUGUACAUCACAUUUUUUAUAAUUUUAAUUAUACAAAAUAAAAAUUAUUGAUAAGGGAAAUAUAAAUUAAACAUUUUUACUAUUAACAUAGUACAAAAUUAAUAUUUUCUUAGAAUAAACUAUUUAUUAGUAUUAAUUAUUAAUAUUAAAUAAAUAUAAUACUAUUAUGUUUAAAUAAAUAUAAUCAUAUUAUAUUUUCAAAUAAAGAUGGUAUAUAGUAAUAUUAUUAAUUCUCUAUCUAUAUAAUAAUAUUAUUUUUAAGUAAUUUAAACUUAAAAUCAAACCAAAUUAUUAUUUAGUUAAAUAUAAUAAUAUUAUUUAAAUAUAAUUAGAGUAAAUUUAAUAAAAGGAGGGUAAAAAAGAAGGGUAAAUAUAAAAUGAAACAUUAUUUUAUUUUAUUUUAUUAUAGUAAAUUUAAAUAUAAUUAUAUUAAAUUUAUUAUUAUAUAAAACAAUAAUAUAACAUUAUUUAGUACAAAAUUAAUAUUUUAUUAGAAUAUAAAUGAAGAUAGCAUAUAGUAAUAUUUAUUAAUUCUCUAUUAAUAUAAUAAUAUUAUUUUUAAGUAAUUUUAACUUAGAAUUAAUGUAAAUUAUUAUUUAGUUAAAUAUAAUAAUAUUAUUCAAAUAAAUAUAAUAUUAUUUAUUUUAGUAAAUAUUAAAUAUUAAAUUAAAUAAGAAAAAGGGUAGAAAAGGGAGAGGUGGGAGUGGAUUCCCACUCCCACUCCCCACUCCAAAAAUGGGUGAGGUCCACGAAGUGAAAUUCUCAAUCAUUGCUCAAAUUAUUGAAGUAAAUACUGGAGUAGAAGAAAUCAACACUCCUCACUCCUACUCCAGAAAGUAAACACAGCUUUAGUUACUUCCUGAUGGUAAGAUUCAAUAAUAUUGUAAUUUUUAUAAAAAAAAUUAAGACUCAUAUACCUUUUCCUUGUGUAAUUUAAUUUCCAGUCAAGUCCACCCUCCCGUUUUAUUAUAAAAGUCUAUACGAACAUACGUUUUACUCAAUGUUUACUUAGAAACAAAUGGCGCGCGUACGAUUGCCGAUCUAGUACCACUCUCGUAUACUUGGUGGGAUUCGGUUUCACCAAAUUUGUAGCAUAUAUUUUACUUUAAUGAGAAAAUCAAAUAAUGAUUGAACAAAUAAAUUUUCUUUUCUAUAUACUUUCUUAAAAUGUAUGGAGUUGGUAAAGUGCAAAUUCAUUUUUUAGCCCUUUGACUCCUCCAAAAUCCAAACUCAAAUUAAUGGUCAGUUAAAUAAUGUUACUUGAAAAUCAUUCGGCCAAAUAUUUAAAAACUAUCAUUUCACAAAGUCAAAGUUUCACUGGUUAUUGAAUUAUAGAAUGUGCUAUCAUUUCCUAGCUAGAAUUUGUUUAAUUCUAUUAAUUUACAAUCGUUUUUCAUUUUACUUAAUUAAUUAAAGUGAAUUUAUUAUGUAUACAUUCUACGUACGUAAAAUUUUAAAAUUCAGUGUUGAAUUGAAUUGUACUAAAUUUUUUUAUAAUUUUUUGUCGGACCUGCGUUUUUAACAGUUUAAUAUUAAUAUUGAUAGCACAUAAUAUACAGGAUUAAGAGAGAUUGAUUUCGAGUGCUACAAUAAUUUUAGGAUUGCAUGCACAAGGGUUUAAAAACAAAGUGUGCACUUAAUUACACUAAACGAGGGUGCAUUUUUAUGAUGAAAUAAAAACUGUGUACAUGGUUCUAAAAGUGGCUCCAUAAUUAGUGUACAUUAACAUUCAUCUAGCUACCACUUCCGAAAAUGAUAAAUCACAAGCCGAACAUUUUUCCAAUUGUGUUGUAGAUAAUAGUUCAAUCCCAAUUUCAUCAACUUGUUUUGAGAAAGCAGGCUUCUUGGGAGUAUUUGUAUUUGUGGUUUCAUUCUUGAGCAUUGAGGAAACUUGUAACAUUGUAGGUCGAUCGUUUGGAUUCUCCUGGACACACAACAAAGCUAUUUCCAGACAUCUCAUUAAUUUACAAGGGGAAUUUGUAUCAUCUAGUGAUGAAUCCACAAACUCCACGCCUUUGCCACCUUUCCACAACUCAUAUGCCUGAAAUUAUCAAGUACCAUUUUGUUACAUAAUUUAUACUUCUUAAUUAAGUGCGCAUAUGUGUACUCAGGGUUACUAUAGCCGAAGAAACUUACGUGCUCUAGAAUGCUUAAAUUUUCAUUGAUGCCACAUAACAUUGAAAGCCUCUUUCCACUUAUAAUUUGUAGAAGUAAAACUCCGAAACUAAAAACGUCUGAUUUGGUAGAGUAUACACCUUGUCUGGCGUACUCAGGAGGAAUAUAGCCGCUGCAUUCAAAAUAACCAACAAUAAGUAUAUAUAAAUAAGGGAUUUCACAAUUUAAUAAAUUUGUAAAACCCAUUUUAAAUUGUGGUAAAAGUCCAUUAUGCAUUUUAUUAAAGAGCUGAAUUCUUUAUUCGAAACCUAUAUUUAUAUAUAUAUAUAUAUGCACACACAUGUAUAUACACAUAGGCAUAUCAAGUAAACACAUCAUAUAUGUAUUAAAAUUCUGUGUUAGCUUGGUCCCCAUAUACAUACAUGCGUAUAUAACAAACAGAAGCUUGAGUAAAGGAUAUCAUUUAGAUGUAAUAUACUUACAUUGUUCCCACAACUUGUUCUGUAUUCGCUUCGAGACUCUCUUUUGCAAAAAUCCUAGCCAAACCAAAAUCUGAAAUUUUAGGUUUCAUAUCUUCACCUAACAAAAUAUUACUGGCUUUCAAGUCUCGAUGAAUAAUAGUCAGUCUUGAAUAUUCUUGGAGGUAUAAAAGCCCUUGAGUUAUCCCUUCAAUGAUAUGAACACGUUUUUUCCAAUCCAAAAUAAGUCUUCGGAUGGGAUCUACAACAAAUAUAUAGUUUUGGACAAUAAGUGAUAUGCAAAUGAAUUUUAUACACGAUUAAUAUUAACUUGAUUCCAGAACAAACCAAAAAGGUAGCAAUCCAAGCUUUUGUUUGGCAUGUACUCGUAAACUAGCAUCCGUUCCUCACUGUCAAUGCAAAAACCUAAAACUAUGAUAAGAUUUACAUGUUGGAGUUUGGCAGUAAGCAUAACCUCAUUCUUGAACUCCUCAAAUCCCUGUGUGGAUGUUUUUGAAAGUUUCUUCACUGCUAUCACCUUUCCGCAGGGUAAUACACCCUGCAAUCCAAAAAAAGAAACCAUGUUCAUAUAAAGCUUUCACUAAUUAAAUAAGCUGAGAAAUGUUAGCCAAACAAUAUGUUACCCUCCAAAGUUGAGGGCACCAUUUUUUAAGUCCUUUAAGUCCCCAUGGACGCAUAAAUCUCCUCUCACAAAAUAUGGAUAUGGGUAGAGACAUAUUCCUAAAUAUUAGUAGAAGUAGUUAUAUCUCUCUAGUGUGAGGUUAGAAGUCUCAUCUCUAAUAUGUAUAGAUUUUAAACUAUAUGUUUUGGGCCUCUGAAUUUUACUGUGGAUUUUGUGUGCGCGCGCGCGUGUUACCUUGUAAACAGGACCAUAUCCACCUUCCCCAAGCUUAUUUCUAACUGAAAAUCCCUCGGUGGCCACCUCAAUAUCAGCAAAAUUAUAUACUCUGAGGUUAGGAACAUUUCUGUUAAAGUCUCCAGCUUCUGCUUCAUUAUUUGCUCUCUUGUUUGAUGCUUUAGCAGAGCCCUCUGUUCCUAACAUCAACCAAGAGUAAAUAUUAGAUAAUUAAUUAAAUGUCAGUCUCAGUUACAUAUAUAUGAAUGAAAUACAUACUUAAUUAUAAUUGAUAGCUGAAAAUUGUUACCUUCAAUUAACUUGAGCCUUUUCAUCCUGGUGUAUUUAUAUGCACAAAAGCCUAGAAGGAGAGUCAAAGCUGCCGCUGCAGUCGAAAUGAGUACCAAGGACAGACGCCGGUUAUUACUAUGUUCAUCUUUGUCAGCUGAAGCAGAAGUAGUCCUGUCUUUUUGUGCUGGAAAUAUGCAUAGUUCACAAAUUAAUAAUAACUAGCAAGAGAUGCCGUAACAAUCAUUAUUAAUCAGAGAGAACAAUUAUUGCAUAUAUAAGUACCUGCAGCUUGAGAAAGCUCCCAAUUAUGAUCAUCAAAAGGAACUCGCAACACAUAGUAACCAAGCAAUCUCUUCUCUUUGGCAUAGGCGAUCUUAGCUCUAACAGCCUCCACAUCAUCAAAACCAAACCAAACCGUCCCAGUGGAGAAGUAAUUCACCACAUAAGUUGAAUUGUACAUAACUUGAACAUUAGGACCAUAGGUCUUGAUGUGAUUCUUGAUAUCCCUAUAGGUCACAAAGCCACCAUUACUCAAAGCUGGUCCUGUUGCUGCUGCUCCAAUACCAUUGUCUUCAGAUUUCACAAGCGUCCAUGCAUAGCCGUAGAAAGGCAAACACAAAACCAACUUAUCAGCCGAUAACCCUCUCUCAAUCCAUGCCUUUAAAACCUGAUCGGUACUUCUAGCAUAGCCGCCGCUACUUGAGCCAUACAGAGCUGCAUGUGCCGCAGUGAAGUUUGUUGACAUAGGCUCGUAGUAGUUAGAAGUAACAACAUGAACCCAAUUCAAGUUUCGUUGCAUCGAAUUCACAAGGUACGAAUUGUCUGGUGGUGAAUAAUGAAACCCUGCGGUCAAGAUCAGCUGGGAUUGCUGGCGGCUAGAGCUUUUUGCCUCUAAUUGUGUGGCAGCAGCUCGCCACUCGUCAAAGAGUAUGCCCAUAUUGAGCAUAUCGGUGCUUGUGUUAGGAGCUGUCCAAGCAAAAUCUAGGCCCUGAAAGCCAUAAAGCCUAGCUAUUCUUAUUGAAGAGUCGAUGAAAGAUUUUCUGUGAGAAGAAUUUCUCACCAUUGAAGAAUAUAUAGAAUUGUUUGUAUAUAUUCCUCGUCCAAUGGAGAGAAGUGUAGUGAUUGAUGGGUUCUUUUGUUUCACAGCGUCUAUAAAUUUGGGGAAUAUUUGAUUUCCAUCAAACGGUGAUGAUAAAGAUAGCUGGUAAGUGGUGGAAUUGAUAUCAGCGUAAGAGCAAAUAAGGUGAGUGAAGAGAUCAUAAUUUAUGCGCGAAAUGGCGGACACUUCGCCUGAAUACAAGUAACCGACCCUGAUCCACGGUUUUGCUUUCGCGGGAUGAAGUUCUGAAUAGAACAACAUGUGGAAGAUGAUGCUGAUAAUUAUGGAUGCCAUUUGAGAGGCUUAAGCUUCUUAAUUACCACUUCGAUGGGAAUGGAAAUGAAUGCACACUAAGAGAAAUUAAAUAAACACAAGUUUCACAGUUCAUUAAGUUCUCAUGUGUACUACACAUACAUUGCAUGUUAAGAUGAUGAUGGGCGAUGCGACCAUUGCCGGAGAACUAAGAUUUUCUUCUAUCGCCUGUGUGACUUUUCAUGAAGAAACAUGAUGUUUUGAUUGACAUUUGGUUAAACUGAUGACAUAUUUCGGGCUACAAAUAUUAGUAUUGUUUUAUUAAAUAAAAAUAAUAAUAAUUAUACGUGCAUGUUGAAGGUAAUAUUGCAGUCUUUUGAGCCUGUGUUGAAUUUCAUUCAUUAUUACGAGCGUUCAUUUAUUAUCCAUCCCCUUUUUUCUCUGUGAGUCUGCUAGCUGUAGUCAUCUUAAAAGGAUAACAUGUUUAAUGCGUGUAAAUGCACCUCAGAAGUAGUUAAGAAAGACUUGAUCAAACCAGAUAAUUUUCCUCUUAACACAGAAGUAGUUAUCGGACUAAUUAAGAUUCUAAUCCAUUUAAGAAAUAUUCAAAAAGGGUUAUUGUCACUACUUUAGUCCUUGUUGUUUUAUUAAAGAAAGAAACAAAGAAAAAAAAAAGAAGAUAUUUAAAGAAGCAUCACAUAAAUCCUUCCUAAUUAGAUUUUGUUUCAUUCAAGUUCUUGACUUAAUUUGACUGCUUGGAAAAAUUAGUAAAAAGGUAACAAUUAAAAAAAAUGUAAAUUCUAGUUAUUAGACUAAAUAUAUAUAAAUUUGCAACAAGUAGCAAAAGUUUAGAAUAUGAAAAACCCUAUUUUGUUUACGAAAUAAAGAAAAUUCGAAUCAUUUUUAAAAAAAAAAUCUCUAAAAGUUUGAAAACUAAGAUUUUAAGGUCCUUCUAGACUAACCAUAAAUAACAUGAAUUUACCAAAUUAAGCAAACUUGAAUUAUUAUUACACAAUAAAAUUUAACUAAUGGAAAUAAGAAAACAAAAUAAAUAACACUCAAAUUCGAUAUCUAAAAAAUAAAGAUAAAAAUAAUGAAAGCAAUAGAAAAAAUAAAAUAAAAUAAAAUAACUAAAACUUGCAAAAUGACCAUGAAAGAAAUAAUUUUUUUUUGCUGAACCAAAGGGCCGAUACGUAUAGCCCUAUUGUACUAGAUUCAUCUCGCCGCAAGUUUCAAAACAAUAUAUUAUAUGUUUUAAACGAACUCUUAUAAAUUAAGUUAUGACCUUAAAAAAAUUCCUACUCAUCUUACAUAAACAUCCUAUGUCACUAUAUAGUUAUACAAUAAUAAUAUAAUCCAAACACUCAUGAAGCAUAACUCAUGCACCUCCACUAAUAACCGUGAAAUUUAAUCACAUUUUACAAGAGAGAGGAAUGUUCUCAUUUAUUCGAUUUUCUGCUAGGUUGUGUUAGGUUGGGCUUUUUAGAAUUUCUUUGACGAAAAGUCAUUCUCUUCAACGGCCAAAACUUGGGCUAGUGGGCAAUUAUGAAAGUCCAUUGGAUGCAUUGGACCAAACUAAAAGUCCAAAUUUUUUUUUAUUCUUGCAAAAAAAAACUAUAUCUGUAUAUUCUGUUCAACAAUCCAAAACUUGGGCCAAUGGGCAAUUAUGAAAGUCCAUUGGAUGCAUUGCAUCAAACUAAAAGUUAUAUAUAUAUAUAUAUAUAUAUAUAUAUAUAUAUAUAUAUAUAUAUAUAUAUCAAUAAAUGAAAUGACACAAUACAGUUGGCUUGCCGUUGCAAAGCUUCUUUGUUUGUUAUUAUUUAUUGGCUUAUUGCAAUAAAGACUAAAGAGAGCUUUGAGCCAUGCAGCAUGGGAAGCUCCAUUAAAAAAAAUAAAAGAAUUUAAAGCUUCAAGGACAUAAAGCGUGCCCACCCAAUUAAAUUUUUCUUUAAAAAAGAAAAAAAAAAGGCUGAAAUUGCAAUGACUUGAAUUUAUCAUCAAUUCUGGCUUAAUUUGCCCCCCGUCAUUUUUUCAAGGAGAAUGUCCAACUCAAUUGUGACGGCUACUGCUUCAAUUUUAAUUUUAUUUUUCUCAAGAAUAGUCAUUUUCAUCCACCAUAUUCCUGCAUCCUGAUGCGUCCUUAUUGCUUAUAUUAUUAUAGACCACUUUUGGAAGCAUAACAAUUUUUGCACACAUGGUCUCCAUCUUGCGGACCCAAAUGUUGAUGAUAUACUUGCAUGCUCCAAAAUGAGCCCUUUUAAUAACUUAUCAUCUGGUAAAUGAUAGUUUAUUUAUUUAUUACAUUUAAUAACUUAUCAUCUGGUAAAUGAUAGUUUAUUUAUUUAUUACAUAACAAAUAUGUUAUGCCAUAUGCCACCUAUUAGUGAAAGAUGUUUAAAUAACUACUCUUGUAGUAAACUCCUGAAUGAUGGCAAGUUAGAUUUAGACUUAAUGCACUAACUUCGAUAUAUAUUUUUUUUUUUUACAUGGUAAUUAUUUUCUUCUCGCUAGGAAGUUGCAAUGAUUGAUAAUACGGGAGCAUUUUGCUUUAAUACAAUCCUUAAUUGAAGAGUUUCUAGAGAUGUUUAUUAUUAUUAUUAUUAAUACCGCGUUGGUCAGGAUUUGAUUACUAUAAUAUUGACGAUUCGAUUUCUAACAAUUUUGUUUAUUAUAAAAUUAAAACAAAUGAGUAGUCAUCUAGAAAAUCAUAAUCUCUUUAAAGGCAUCAAAAGGCAAUGGCAAUGUAAAAUGAAUGUGAAUCUAUUAGUAACAUGUUUACACGUGUAUUAAUCUUAAAAUAUUUAAAUAAAUAAACCAUAGAUUCUUGGUUCCAAUAUGAGCUUUAUAGUUAAGGAGACCCACUGCGUAUGAUGGACUAGUGAGUUGUGAGAGAAAUCUCUUAGGCCGAAAGAAUCUUAAUCAAAUCGUAUCAUCAUAAAAAAAUUCCAAAUUUUGUUUUCUUCUUUUGACAAAAACCCUCGUUCAAAAUGAUUCAUAUAAAUUUAUCAAUAAAAGAUUUUGAAUCAAUUAGAAAAUGGAAUUGUCUUGCGCACAUCUUUUGCUCGAUCGUUCAGUCCUUAAUCAUGUUUUAAUUAUAACCCAAACACGACAAUGACAUGUACGAUCUACAUAAAUCCUCGAUAUUAAUUGUCAAUUGGUUCUGCGAAUUCAAUGUGCAAAGUCUCACAAGUCAUAAUAAAUUUAGGAAUGAAAAGUACGAGCGGGUAGCAAGAAACCAUCACUCAAUUCCAAUUGAUAUGUACACUUCAUUCAUUUUGUCUUUUACAUAAAUGGAAAAACUAAAAAGCGUAACAAUUAUUAAACACAUGCCCACUGCCCUGCCACUCGGCCAAAGAGGGGCCGUUGCUCUCUUACAUUGGUUCAAUGAAGGGAUUCAUUGAAGGGUGUUUCGACGACGGGAGCGGCAUUAAGAUGAGUGAUCACUUGAAAAAUCUUUGAAUUGUACCUCUCUUUUUAAACCAACGAGCUCGUAGAUCAGUUGGUAUAGAGUUGUUUUAUUAUAAUUAAAAUUUUAGGUUUAAGGUUUGAAAAUGCUGUUAUGUUAAAAUAUUUGUUGGGAGAAUUUUGUCAUUCUAGCGUUCAUAUCGGAUUCGAAUCUGAAUUAAUCGGAGUUUAAUAUAGUCUUUGAAUAUCAUAUGAUUUAAUACACAAAAAAAAUGAAGGAAUUCAUCUCUCAAUUAUUAUUAAAAAUAAAAAUGCGGGAUGUGUAUUUCAGUGUAAAUAAUGACAAUAAUAAUAAUACAACACAUCCCCAUCAAAAUCUCCAUCAAAAACCUAGCUGAUGCUGAUGCUGAUGCUUCUGCAGAUUCUGAUUCCCCCUCCCUUUUAGCCCAGGAAGCAGAUGAUGACAGCAUCACGGUACAAGGAAAGAAAGAAAGAAUAUCAUUAUACUCCCACAUCUUCUUAAACGUUGUGCCCUCUAUAUGCACAUAUGCAUGUACAUAUUAAUUAUUAUCAUAUUGUAGUAAGUAAUGUUUUAGCUUUCGACAUUAACAACAUUGUGAUUAAUCAUAAUGCCACAUUAUACAGUUCAAAUAUGAAAGGUUAUGAAAUUAACUUCUAUAUACAAAUGCGUUACAUAAAGUGCGCGACAUCGUUCUUUUUAAUACAUACAGUAAAUUAAUGAAUAAUCAUUCGUAAAAAAAAAAUGUUGUCCGAUAGUGAAUUAGCUAUACAAGUAGAGCCUCUACAAAUUAACAGGGUGAGACCAUAUGAAAUCUAUUAAUUAAAAAAGAGAUUAAAUAAUCAAUAAUUUAUUAAUUUAUUAAUUUACAGAGUUAUUUAUAAUUCAAUUAACAUACAUCAACAAUACUUCAUAAUUUCCUAUUACAAUUUGAGAAGUCAACCGCAGGGCUUCUAGGUGUUAAGAAAAAUAAGAGAUUGAGGUCCAAUUAGAUUUAAAUUUUAAGAAAAGAACAAGUAACAAUAUAAUCAUAUUUUAUGUAAGUAAGUGAUAAUAGAGUCAUAUUUUAUUCAAUUAAAAUAUUAUAGUCAACUACAUUUAUAAUUUCAGUAAAUUAUUAAUUUGUGAUUUGAAUAAGACGAUAAAGUUAUAUAAAUUUUUUAAAAAAAAUUAUUAUCGCAUUAUUUUAUUAAAAUUAUUAAUUUUAAUGUAUUGUCAUAAAAUUGUGUGAAUUUGUUAUAUAAUAGAUAUUAUUAAUUUACCGAAUAUCAAUUGAUAGAGAUUUUAUAGCAUGAGUACCUAAAUUUUGACGAAAUAAAUGAACAUUUGUUUGUACCUUGCAGGUAUGUGUCCGUUUAAUAAUAGUAUAAUGUACUUUUUUUCUUUUUUCCUUCUUACGACAAAAAGUUAAGUAGAUUUUGAGGUCCAGUCGUAAAGAGACAACUUGGGUAAUUGUGUUUUUUUGUAAUGUGCGCAAUUGCUAGCUUUUCCGAUGAUUUUGAUUUGGGAUUGCGUUGUAUAAUUUGCACAAUCAUCUCCUUCACCUUUGGAUUCUGUAUCUCUCUAUUUUGUGCUCUUUCUCUCUGAAUGGUAGCCACAUAUACGACUCUCUUUGCUCUGAAUACAUGAAAUUAAGGGUGGGCGCGGUUCGGUUCGGUUCGGUUUUUUACUAAAUUUUUCAUAAUCGUUCGAUUACGAUUAUUUUAAAAUCAUAAUCGCGAUUAAUCAAAUUACUGAAAUAAUCAAAUACUCAAUUAAUUGAAAUAAUUUGAUUCGGUUCGGUUCGAUUAUUUCAAUUAUAGGCCUAUUGGGCCUAUUUUGAGCUUUUUUAAAUUUAAAACCUUAAAUUAAUAAAUCUACCACAAACAUAAAAAGUUAACAAACAAAAAAUCAAAAAUAUGUCUCGAACAAUGUUCAAAUAACAAGUUCAAAUCAAAAUAAAUCAUAAUCCCAAUUACUCCUCAGUUGCUUGUUCUUGUUGAGCUAGUAUUGGCCUACCAAAUUCUACAUUAACAAAUUAAAAAAAAAUGUUAGAAUGAUUAGUUAAAAGUGAAAUAAUCAAAACAACAUAUCAAAAUAUAGUAGUAACAUAUUACCUGCUUCAAUAACUUCAUAGAAUUCAGUUCCCUCUUGAGUAGGUUGUAUUAUCCGUUCUCCUAAUAGAGUUGAGCAAAGCCAAUUUUGAGUGCAAAUUAAUGACUCAACAGUUUUAUGAGUUAAAGAACUUCUAAAAGGAUCAAGAACACGCCCUCAUGUGCUAAAUGCCGAUUCCGAAGCUAUAGUAGACACUGGAAUUGCCAAAACAUCCUUGGCAAUCUGAGACAAAAUUAGAUACCUAUGCCCAUUCAACUUCCACCAAGUCAAAAUAUCAAAAUGGGCAUUACUAGUACUCUCAUUAGCAUCCGUCAAGUACUUUUCAACAUCAUUUUUCGAACUAAUGUCAUCAUUUGAACUUUGCUUCAUCAUUUUGAAAGAUGAAAAAAGAUCAAUUGACAUUAUACUACUACUAGCACUAGCACCACCACCACCACCACCACCACCACCACCACCACCACCACUACCACUACCACCAUCAUGGAUAUCACCAAAACAAACACCACCACUAUUCCUCACAUCACUCCCACCAAUAUAGCUAUUAUAUAGCUUCAUCAACAACUCCUUAAUAUUAGAUUUCAAUUCUUCAACCUUCCUAGAUUCAUACAUGUUACUAAAACAAAAUGUAACAAACUCUAAUUUACAUCUAGGAUCAAACACAUUUGCUACAAAUAAUAACAUGUUAACCUGAUCAAAAGAAUCACCACUACCACUACCACCAUCAUGGAUAUCACCAAAACAAACACCACCACUAUUCCUCACAUCACUCCCACCAAUAUAGCUAUUAUAUAGCUUUAUCAACAACUCCUUAAUAUUAGAUUUCAAUUCUUCAACCUUCCUAGAUUCAUACAUGUUACUAAAACAAAAUGUAACAAACCCCAAUUUACAUCUAGGAUCAAGCACAUUUGCUACAAAUAAUAACAUGUUAACCUGAUCAAAAGAAUCACCCCAAUAUUUAGCAAACAUUUGUUCCAUUUUUUCGACCAUUUUUCUUAACAAAUCAUCACUAGAAGUAGCAAGUGACUUCAAAUUAAUUAGAACUUUUGCCAUUUCAUUUAAGAAAUCAUUGGAAGUGACAACAAGAGAGCUACUAAAUUUCAAGGUCACAUAAUAAAAAACCGAUAAAAAUUUGACUAACCUCCUUGCAUUUCCCCAAUCGUCAUUGCUCGGUGGCCCUUCCCUCUUUUUUUCACCCUCCUCCUCAACAAACCAAUUAACAUAAUGUCCAUCAUCUUCCUUCAUCCUAUCAAAUGCUUUUUCAAAUACAAUCGCCUUAUGCAACAUCAAAUAUGUUGAAUUCCAUCUAGUAGGCACAUCCAACACCAUAAGCCCUCCAUAUGAGAUUUUCUCCCUAUCAACACAUGUUUUAAACUUUUGCAAUCUUACUGGAGAGGAUCUAACAUACUUUACUGCAUUGCAAAUACUAGCUAUUGAAUUAUUCACCUCCACCAACCCAUCUUGCACAAUCAAAUUUAUUAUGUGUGCCGAACACCUCACAUGCAUAUAUAUACCAUUCAAAAUCAUUGAAUUCACACUCCAAUUUGCUAACUUCUUCUUCACAUAAGUUAUUGCAACUUUAUUGGCACUUGCAUUGUCCACUGUAAUUGUGAACAACCUCUCAAUCCCCCAAUCAAUCAAAUAUGUCUCAAUUAGCUUCCCAAUACCAUCUACUUUAUGAGUAGCUAUAGGUGUGAAACUAAGAAUCCUUUUGUGCAACACCCACUCCGCAUCAAUAAAAUGAGCAGUAAUAACCAUGUAGUUAGACAUUUGAAUUGAUGUCCACGUAUCUGUGGUAAUACACACCCUCUGCUUGCUUGCACCCAAGACACUUUUUAACAACCCUUUUUCAUGUUGAUACAAUUCAAGAAUAUCCCUUAUAAUUGUUCUUCGCGAUGGCACAUCAAAUCUUAGGCAACAAGUUUGCAUAAACUCUAAAAACCCUUCGGCCUCCACAAAGCUAAAAGGUAAUUCAUCAUUGACAAUCAUCUUCACAAGUGCCAUUCUACAAGCCUCUUGACUAAAUCCGCCACUAACUUUAACAACUCCAUCAUCUUUAUCUUUUCCCUUUUGACGGAAAAGUACUUGUUGCUUCAGAUCCCCUUCAACCUUUACAUCUUGAUAUGACCUACAUCUAUCCAAAUGAUUCUUCAAAUUAGUGGUAUUUCCUCUAUUAGCUACAAAGGUUUUACGGCAAUGAUGACAUUUUCCUUUGUUUCCACAAGAUAGUUUGGUAAAAUGAGCCCAAAUAUUUGAUCUCAAAGGUAUUUUUCUUUUUUUCCCAUCAUCAACCUCCACCUCUUGCACUUCCUCCUCAUCAUAAUUUUCCAUUCUUCACAAAAAAUCAACAUCACAGCAGCAAUAAAUCAACACAAGAGCAGCAACAAAUAAAAAGAACCUGAUGCUCAAUAAUUCUACUAACUAAUAUCAAUUGUACGCACAGAGAACAAUAUAUGUACAAGAAUUGAUUCCCAUAUUAAUUGAUAAAUAAAGCCAAAUAGAUAAAAAUAUGGGAUUUGUAUAAUGCUUUACAAUGCAUAAGAUAGUAAAAAUAUUAAAUAAGGGCUUUGCACCCCAUUUUAUAUGUACGCACAACACUUCACUAGUACAUGAUACUUUUCCACAAGUUCCCACAAGGGGAUCAAGCAGCCAAGAAUGCACAAACUGGAGGAAUGAGGUUAAUAGCAAACAAACUAUGUAGGUACAGCCAAAAAGCCGCUGUGAAGAUAUCAGAAUUAGAUGACAACCCUAAUUAACAAGCUUUACUACACCUGUAUGGACAGUAACAAUAGCUGCAGCUAUUCUAAGUUUUGGAUUCCAUCCCCAAAUGAUGUCAACAGAGGUGCAAUAUUAGAUGGUCUAGGAACAAGUCUCCGUUAAGUAUGCAAAAGGAUCUGAAGACACUAAUGCGAAAAUCACAAAAAAAAAAAAAAAUGGAGCGAAAUGCGGUGCUACAAAGACAUUGAUGUUCCUGAACAUUUACUUUUCAUUUGUUUUGUUGUAGUUGUAGUAAUAGGUAUAUCUGUAGCUGCUACGUAGACCUUAGGCAACAAAUGCCACGAACAUGAACCUAGUGACUUUUUGUGUGUGCGGACUUGAACUUAUCUACAUUUCUAUAUCACAAAAGAAGACUACACAAGCAGAUACUUGUGAAAACAAAACACUUCAAAUGGUCAAUAUCACUAAGUCACUUCCCAGAUCUGAAAAAAGCCUCCAUUCUACUUCAACUCAACAUUAUCAUCACUUAGAACAUCAACUUACAACAAGCCAUCACAACACAUACACAAGAAAUUUAAAUCAAAGCAGAAUAAGUUGAAAUCACAAGGCACAACCAAAUGAAUAAUUUGCAUUCCAGCAAAAUUUAAGUUCGAAAAAUGAUUAAGGCUGCGAUACACAGCCUGCUGGGGAAAGUGGCCCUUCCAUGUUGCCCAUCACGUGGUGAAAAGAAAAAGAAAAAAAAAAGAGAGAAAGAAAUGAAGAAUCAACUCACAAGUUGUAGCUUUGUGGAGAUCACGAUAUUUCCAGAUGACAGCGGCUACGGCGACGAGCAGCAGCGACGGAUACUCAGCGACGAGCAGUAGCGACGGAGACUUGGCAACGAGCAGCAGCGGCAACAGCAAGGACCAGCAGCGCGGAGACAAGCGACGGGGGCGAGAUUCUAGCGGCUGAAGGUCACGAGUUCAGUGGCUCAAGAUCAGAACUCAGAACUGAAGGAAUCUGAAGUGGACAAUUGGUUUAGAGAAUUAGAGUCACUAGGUUCAGGGAUUUCGGAUUUCGGUUUAUUUGAUAAUUGGUUCGGUUUUGCGGUUUUUUUUUUAAAACCGAACCGACUGAUUUUACUAUUUUUACUAUAUUACUUAUUCGGUUUUUUGAGUGUAAAAAAACCGCAAAAAAAACAAAACCGAACCGAACGGUUCGGUUCGGUUUUUGAUUAAUCAACUUUUUUUGCCCACCCCUGAUGAAAUAGGCUUUAGUUAUUUUACAUGAUCAUGUAAAUUAUUCUUGUAUAGUUAUUAAAUAAAAAUUAAAAAUAAUAAAAAUAAUAAGAUUUUAUUAUUUUAUAUUUCCACAGCUGUUGAAUUUUCAUCAAACGAUUAUGAAAAAAUCAUAUAUUUUAUAUGAUUACCCUUUUUUUAUGAUAACAAUCUCUCGUAAAAUAAUUGAUCACCCUUUUUUUUUAUGAAAAAUUGAUAUACUUGCUUACACACAUGACAUAUUCUCCUUGGAAGUAAAGAAAAAAUUUCCAUUAUUCUGCAUUGUGCAUCACAGUCCUGACAGCGUUUUAGGCUCUGUAAAUAGCAAGAAAAUAAUUUGUUUUCUUAUUUCCUUUUGCUAAUUGACAAAAUGAUGAGAAAAAAAAUGAAAAAUAAGGAAAAAAAAGUUUCUAUUAUAACAAGAAAAUAAAGAUUAAAGUAAAAUGCCAUGACACGUAGAAUUCUCUAAAACGAUAUCUAAAUUGAAAAGUGUAAUAAAUAAUUCGGGGAAGCUUGAAAAAUGUAACAACAAAAUUUGUGUCAAAUAAGAAUAAAAAUAAAAACUUAUUGGAUGGAGCCAAUAAAGUUUAGAAAGAUUUUUAUUUCGCUUAAGUUUAUAAUUUAGAGUCACAAGCAACAAGUUCGUAAACAACAUGAAUUUUUGAGGAUUGCAAUAAAAAUUGUGAUUGAUAACAACAAAUUUACAAUUAAUAAUUAAUAACAAACAAUGGCUACGUGGGUAUUUUCCAAUUUACGGAGCCUCAAGGGCCAAGGUUGACCUAAUAUUGCCAUAUAAAAAUAUUUUUUUAAAAGAAAAUAAAAUAUGAUCUAAAAGAAUGUGUACCAUGAUAUAAUUGAUAAAAUUUUCAUUCUUUCAAGUUCUAAGAGAGUCUAAGAGAAACGUGAAAGGCUUAAAGUGCAUAAUAAUAAUAAUAAAAGGAGAAAUUUUAAAUACUUCAGAUAUAUUACAACCACCACUUUAAUACAACCACUAUAUUACAACCACAUAUAUCAUGUCAUUAUUUGUUUGUUGUAUGACUGACAUGGUACAUCAGAUGUAUUCUAGAAUUUCUCUAAUAAAAGAGACAUGUGAAAGUGAGAGCAAUAAAAAAAAUAAAAUAAAACCCCUAAAUUGGAAACUUUUAAAGAAUAGUGAUGAUUGUCGAAGCCAACAAAAAUAAAUACCUACUCUAAAUAAAUUGUGUAUAGUGAUUGAGCUGGAUCGUGUCCACAGAGAUUGGUAAUUAUUUAAAUCCUUUUAACACGUAAAACAUAAAAUGGGGGUUUUGUUGACAAUAAUAAAAAUCAAAUUAAAAUAACAAGAAUGCAAAUUAAAGUUGUAAUUCAAAUUGGAGAAAGCUCUGGUUGAAGGAAUUAACUCAGCUUGAUUCGACUACUGAUCAUUGAUUCAAAUAUAAAUUAUUACUACUUAUGAAUAGACCGGUUAUAGCUACUGAGACCCUCUAAUAGCCAAUCUCUCCUUAACUAGUCGAUAACCAAGGUACGAUCGUUGGUUAUUUCCCUAAUCAAUAGACAACCCUAGAUACGAUCAUAUGAUUUAAUCAAUUGACAGCCUGAAAAACCAGAGAGACCCAAAUCCUAAUCAACAAACGCAUACGAUGGUUCAUUUAAAUUAGAUUGUUUAUUCUCAUAACACAACUCACUGCUAUGUUAUUUGUCACAAACAUUAAAAUCUUCAUACGAUAAAUCCUUUAAUUGACAAUAGAUUAAGUUGAUAAUUAAAUAGUGGCCAGUUAUCUAAUUAACAAACAUAAUCAUGAAAAUAAUUCAGAGAAUAAACAAAUACCAAAAAAGUAAUAAAACAAUUAAAGCAUAAGAAAGAUCUCACAGUAGUGAUGAAUCAAAGCUUCAUUAACCUUCAACCAGAAUAAUAGAUUUAGUUCUUCAUAGAGAGAAUAGAAAAAUUUAGAUCUAGGGUUUCUUUCUUUUCUCCAAUCCCCCUUUUUUUCACAAUAGAUUCCUCCCUUAAAUACUCUCUCUCUCUUCUCCUCUAGAGUUCUAUUUAAAAUAAAAUACUAAUAUCUAAAAUAUUAAAUUCGUAAUUACAAAAAUAACCAAAAAUACAAAACACGUUAAACUAAAAACUGUAGGUCCGUAGUUGACAGCACGCGCCCACGCCUUAUCAAUAAAGUUCUUCUGACGCUCAUUAUUUCUUCAAAAGAACAAUCAUCCUUAAACAUCAUCUUGUAGCUCAAUUUUAGCACCAAUCAAUAGAAUUGCACCUAUAAAAGUAAAACACAAGUAAAUCACUAUUAUUAAGUGCAAAACAUCGAUAUUAAGGGAAGCAAACAAUGCAAAACUAGUGCAUAAAUUGCACUCUAACAAAUUCCCCCACACCAAGAUGAUGCUUGUCCUCAAGCAUAUAACUCAAGACUAAUCACAAAUCUCCGCUCAAUUCUCAUCUCAACUCAUCCAAAAACAAUUUUAAGCAAGCAUACCUCAAGAAAUUAAGUCGAUCAUCAUUCGAAAGACAAGGAUUUUAAAGCAUAGAAUCUCAUAAGAUAGAAGAAGAACAUUCAACCACCAAGAAGAUCCAUUCAAAAUUCAACUGCAAUAAGAUUUAAUAGCCCUCUCAUUGACUUCACUCCAUUCACUCAAAGUGUUUAGGGUAUCAUUUAUGCACUCAAAUCAAAUCAAAUAAUGCUAUUACCAUAAGCUUGCUCAUAUAUCACAUCUCAAUCCACAAAACAUGAAUAAAAUGCAAAAAUCUAAGGGUCUUAAAAAGGUUGUAAUGGGGUUAAAUAAGUUAAAUGAAAAAGAAAGGUCUACGAAAGAAAAAGAGAUCAAAAUGAGAAGAAUGAACUCAUUGAAUGAACUUAUGAUAUCAAAAUGCUUAUUUCUACUCAAGUCACCAAGAAUGUAAACAUUUUUUUUCUUUUUUUCGAUUUUUGUCUUUUUUUUCUUUUUUUUUAAUCAAAAGAAAAGAAACGAACCUUGCACAAUUUAAUUCAAGCAUAAUGCUUGUUGAUCUAAUUGAGAAACUUUAAUACAAGGUAGAAAAAGCAACAAAAUAUAUACAAAAUAUAUCCGCACAAUGAGUCCAAAAAUCUCCUUAAAUUGAGGCUCAAAAAGAAGAAAAAUUGUUAAGUAGACAAAGAGAAUUAGAUGGAUAAUGGUUAAGACUCAAACAAAGAUAGCAAAUAAAGGUCUUCGGGUAGAAAAAAAAAAGAAAAUGCGAGAAACAAAUGUUUACAUAGAAACAAAUGGCGCGCAGUCGAUUUGUCAAUCUAGUACCACUCUCGUAUACUUGGUGAGAUUCGGCUAUACCAAAUUUGUAGCCUAUAUUUUACUUUAAUGAGAAAAUCAAAUAAUGUUUGAACAAAUAAUUUUCUUUUUUCUAUAUACUUUCUUAAAAUGUAUGGAGUGGGUAAAGUACAAAUUGUUUUUUUAGCCCUUUGACUCCUCCAAAAUUCGAACUCAAUUUAAUGUCAAUUAAAAUAAUGCUACUUGAAAAUCAUUCAACCAAAUAUCGUAAAAACUAUAAUUUUACGAAGUGAAAGUUUCACUGAUUAUUGAAUUAUAGAACAUGCUAUCAUUUCCUAGUUAGAAUUUGUUUAAUUCUAUUAAUUUACAAUCAUUCUUUAUUUUAUUCAAUUAAUUAAAGUGAAUUUGUUUUGUAUAAGUUCUAUAUAUGUAAAAUUUUAAAAUUCAGUGUUGAACUUAAUUGUACUAAACCUUUUAUAAUUUUUUAUCACAUCUGCAUGUUUAACAGUCUAGUAUUAAUAUUGAUAGCACAUAAUAUAUAGGAUCAAGAGACAUUGAUUUCGGGUGCCACAAGAUUUUUAGGAUUGCAUGCACAAGGGCUUACAAGAUUUUUAGGAUUGCAUGUAGGGGUGGGCGCGGUUCAGUUCGGUUCGAUUUUUAACUAAAUUUUUCAUAAUCGUUCAAUUACGAUUAUUUUAAAAUCAUAAUGGCAAUUAAUCAAAUUACCGAAAUAAUCAAGUACUCGAUUAAUCAAAAUAAUUCGAUUUGAUUCAGUUCGAUAAUUUCGAUUAUGAGCUUAUUGGACCUAUUUUGGGUUUUUUUAAAUUUAAAACCUUAAAUUAAUAAAUCUACCACAAACAUAAAAAAGUUAACAAACGAUUUGUUUCUUAGUUAAAAGUUUUUAAUCUUUUACUGCUUUUAUUAUUAUCCCAUUUUCGUGAUUGUUGGUAAAUGUGUCAAAUCAUAGGUGGAAAGCCUCUACAAAAUAAAAAUUAACCAAAAAAUCAAUUAAGAUUAUAGUUUAAUUAAGGAUCCAUACAGAGUUAGUUAGCAGAACCAGCUGGAAAAUGUUUUUGUCUGAACCUGUUGCAGAAAAUUAAUACUUGCUAGCGUUUUUUAUUAAUUAAUUUAGUUAUGAAUAUACAAACUUAAAAAGUCAUGAAUGAGACGUGUUUGAACUUGCUUUAGUUUUCAUCAGUAGUAAAGAUAGCACCGGCAAUUCACAGCACCAUCAUUUAGUUAUGAACUUGCUUUACGUGCUCUGGAAAUAUCAGUCAUUUUACAAAUGAAAAAGAAAUCAAGAUUUCAUGUUUCACCAUGCUUGGGUUGCUAUCAAACAUAGCAACACCAAAAAAUCAAAUCCAGUGAAGGAGAAUUACCAAAUACAAGGUCAAGAUUCCACCAUAUUAUCAAAAUUGACAUUUGACCGUCAUUAGUAGCAUUAAUUGUUUUGUAGCGUACAGAGCCACACAAAACACUAAGACUAAAGAAAUCAAAGAUGAAAACAAACACCAUAUCACAUUAAACAUUUUCAAACACGGCUCUAAGAUAUAAAAAUCAUGAUCAAUCUCAACAGUAUCCAGUUUGCGAUUUGGGAAAAGAAACUGAAAAAACCAAUCAUUCAAUCAUCUUUCAGCCAAAGAAACAAACCAUAUCUCACCCAAAUGGGGGAAAAGAAAAAACAAAAGAAUGAAUCAUAAAUCACAAAUCAAUUUUGGUAUACAAAUUACUAGUCAUGGUUAUAACUAAAUACAACAUCUCAAGUGAACGAACCUCAACAAAUUAUGAAACGAAACACGAAACAAUCAGCAGUAGCUCAAGUUAUUGGUUUUUAUUCUCUGCAAAAACAGAACAAACCAGAGAAAUGAGAGACAAAAACAGCAGCGAUAUUUACAUAACUCAAGCACAUUAACAAAAACAUGGGAACGAGGAAAAAGAAAUGAACUUUAAACCAAAUUCAUAAAACCGAAACGAAAAAUGGAACUUUUUUGUUCGAUUUUUUGUUCUGCUGAGAGAUUUUGUUGACAAAAACAAAAGAACCCAGAAAUGCUAAAGAGGAAGAGAGAGAAAUCAAUACGUGAUCGUAGUGUUAAAAAAAAAAAAAACCUCACAACAGUAGUCAGAUGGCAGCAGGGGAGCACCGUGACAGCAGCAACAAUUGAUAGUAGGUGACAGCGGCAAGUGACAGUGGCAGCAGCAGCAGAUGACAGCGGCUACAGCAGGUGGUAGCGGCGGCGGAGAGUCGUGAAGGACAAGCAGCAGCAGCAGCGGGGACGAGAUUCCAGCGGCUGAAGGUGCUGCGGCUUCGGUUUUCGGCUGAAGAUCAGAAGAAAUGAAGAAUGUGUUUAGUUUAGACUUUAGGGAUUGUUAUUUGACAUUCGGUUUAUUUGAUAUUCGGUUCGGUUUUUCGAUUUUUUUUUAAACUAAAAACCGAAUAGACUGAUUUUACUACUUUUAUUAUAUUACUCAUUCGAUUUUUUGGAUGUAAAAAAACCGCAUAAAUGCUGUAGAAAACUUAAAUUUUAUAGUACUUAGUUAGCUGCACAUAUAUAUAUAUAGGGCUACUAUAGCCAAAGAAACUUACAUGCUCUAGAAAACUUAAAUUUUCAUUGAUGCCACGUAACAUCAAAAAACUUUUCCCAGUAACAUUCGUAAAAGCUAAAAAUGUCUGAUUCGGUAGAGUAAACACCUCUAUGAGUGUAUUUACGAGGAAUAUAUCAAUAUAACCUCUACAUUUGAAAAUAACCAACAGUCUUUCAGUAUGUCUGUAUAUAUAUAUAUAUAUAAUCAGCUUCAGGUCUGGAAUUUAAAUUUGAAAAGAGUCUACAAUGUUGUAAAUUGCAUUUAUCACUGUUUUACAAUGGUAUAAAUUUAAUUAUAAAUGACUGUCAAAAAAUUAAUAGAUGGUUAUUAUAUAUGAUUAUAAUUAGAACAUUAAAAUUCAAGUCGACUCAUUUAUCUUUACGUUGAUUUUAUUCUUUGUGGUUAUACUUAGAAUAUUAAACAAUUAAGUCGACUAGUUUAUCUUUAUGUUGAUCAUUACAGGCCUCUUAAAUAUUUUAUUUACCUAUAUUUUCUUUGAUUUGUUAUUUUGAGUUGUAUGAAAUGUAGCUUUACUCCUGUUUUCUUUACUUUACUUUGGUUUUCUUUAUUGUUGAUAGGAAUUUUCUUGUUAAAACUAUAUGAUUCAAAUUCAUACUACAACCAUGAUGAAAUAUUUAAUAAAACCUUCAAACUAAAUCCACAUAUUCCAUGAGUAAGGACCCUGAGAUCACAUUUGUUCAAGUUUAUGCUUUAAGUAAAAUAAAAGUAGAAAUGAGAGUUUUAAAGAAGAAAUUCAGUUAUAAAUAAUUGUCAAAUAAUUAAUUGUUCAGCAUUUAUUUUAUAGGUCCCACUGUUGGGACUCCAUGUGAUCUGCCAACUGGCAGGCCUUAUGUGGUUGGGUGAACCAAGGUGUGCCUACCCCAUAUAAGUUCCUCUCUUCUCAUAGAUAUAACUAUCAACGGCGCUAUGUCAUGUCCAACAAGGACUCUUCGAAACUUUUUAUGUGAAUUUUAAACAUUACCCCAUUACGCUUUUGAAACACCAAAACUACCUCUCUUAAAUUUUUAAAAAAGGAAAAAAAUACAUGUUAAAAGAAUGUUUUAUGUCUUUAGCUUAACAGUUAGCACACGUAUUGUACUCUUGACAUUUUUCUUCUGUAAAUCUUCACUUCUUUUUUCUUUGAUUUUUCACACGUCACUGCUCUUUUAUCUCUAAAAAAUUAAAUUGUCCGUAGAAGCUUACUAUUUAAUUUACGGAUCUAAUUAUUUAGCUCUAAAUAUUUAGAUAAGUUUUCUUAAUUAAUUACCACUUCUUUAAUUUAUUUGGUGAUUUCUCUUAGAUGAAAGAAUUAAGGUUAUGUCCUAGGAAAAAUAUUAACUCUCAUAUUAUAGUGUUGAUAAUGAGGUUAUCCUUAAAUUUUUAACACAUGAAAACACAUCGAGGUAACUAUAAAUUCAUUGAAGGAAAUAUUUUAAUAAAUUUAGAUUUUGGUACAUAUUAUUUGUUGAAUUUUUUUUCUUUCCAAAUUGAACGUAGCCCUUAUGACAUUCAAUUCGUGAGAGUGCCACUAAAUGUAAAGUGUUGAACUAGAUCAUAUUUCUCCCUUAUGCAAACUCCAUCGUUUAUUUAUAUUUCAAUUUUGUGGCCUAUUUUCGAGUUUUCUAGUUUCACAGAGGGCAUCUUGGAUUUCUCUACGCUGUCUAUAGUCUCUAGUCCAAAUGAAGAAAUCGAAUUCACCAUGUACUGUUUGGGAGAAGUACGUCGACGAGACCAGACAUGAUGAGCAGAUAUCUGAUGGCAGAGUUCUGCGAACAGGUGUGUCCUGUAAGAGACUGGUGACCGGGGAGCAGGAGUAGAAAUAUUUUGCUCGUCCGCGAGAAUGCCGUCCACGAGGCUGGGCUCCUGCUGUAGCAUGGAGCAUUCCUGCUAAAGGUUUUAAUCGAGGAGACCCGGUCAACGAGAAUUGGUGCGGCGGGCUCUGCAAUCCGAAAAUCAAGGUACUAAGGCCACGUAUCCACCCACGAUUACAGAAAUAGAGCAUCCACGUUCGAGAGGUGGGAGGAUAACGAGCGCAAAUGAGGGGAAGGUCUGGAGUCAGGAGGACCUAUAAAAAGGUAGCCAACGAAGGUAAAAGGGUUAGACUUUUCGCUAUUAGAACUAAGAAAAGAGAGCUCUAAGAACUGAGAUUAAAAAGAAGCCAUAAGAUUCGUGGCAUAGAUUCCCAAAACCUUCAUUUCUGACUUGAACGUCGGAGGGUUUGCGCCGGGGAACCAACCGGCGUACUCUGACCUGUCUGUGUACGCAGGAACUUCUGGAGAAGAAGCUUUACGAGGAGAGAUCCUGAUCGUGGUGACGUUGAUCGAGCAGAGCUCCUGGUCGUAUAACGAGGAGGACUAGAAUCUCGCAUCAACAUUUUGGCGCCGUCUGUGGGGAGCUGAGCAAAAAGCUUCUGUUGAUAGCAAGAAGAAAAGGGAAGCAACUGAAAAGCAAUGGAGACAGGAGGAAGUAGUGCACAAGGGGGUGAUAUGAGGCUUAACGAUUCCGUGACGCUGAGGGAGAUAGCCAGUGAAGCACGGGAAAAAGCCAUGUUCGACCAGAUGGAACGGAUGGAAAAGCAGAUGGAGACCUUGACAACCAUCCUGCAUGAGCUGCGGAGCGAACGAAGGGUAACCUAGGAGGAAAGGGUGAGAGGUGGUGGAGUGGCACCAGGUCCCGAUAGUGCGAGGAGAAGUCAAACCAUCGGGAGAUUUGGUGGCGAGAGAGGUAACAUACCUCUGCGGGGAGAAUUGCAUAGAGAGGAAGAGCAGUCCCCGACAAGACAGAUUUUUGACGAGGACAACGGGGUGGCGAAUGCAGAGGAAACACAGUUGAGGCAACACUUGCAUGAUGUAGUGCAAGAGCGGGAUCAAGUUGCAGCACGUGACCCUGGUCGUGCAGAGCAGCUGGAGGAGGAAGUGCGCAGACUAGCGCAGAUAAUUGACGACAUGCAAGGAAGGAGCAGAGCUCCUGGUUGGAGAAUAAUGCUGGACGGAGAAUCACCGCUCGCAGCAGAGAUCAUAGGGCAAUUAUUCCGAGAGAUUUUUGCCUCCCAGACUUUAGAUACUCGGGAAGAACUGAUCCGCUGGUGCACAUAGAGUGCUUCAACGACAUAACUGGGGUACAAGGAUUAUCUCAAUCCCAAAGGUGCAGGGUGUUCCCACUAUCCCUUGAGGGACGUGCACGAGAGUGGUACAAGAAACUUCCUCGGGGCAGCAUUAAAACCUUCGAGCAGAUGUGCCAGGAAUUUGUAGAGCAGUUUAGUGGGGCAACGGCACCAGAAGAUGACAUGAUGGAGCUGAAAAGCAUGAAACAGGGGGAGCAAGAAACCCUUCGGGAAUUCAUCAAGAGGUUUCAUCGUGCUGUCCUCGACUUGGGUGCCUUCAACCACCCUCAGGCGUUAAGGGGAUUGAAAGAAGGGGUGAAGAUAGGAAGGUUGUGGUACAACUUGAGAAGCCCAGUUAUUCAGACGUAUGCGGUCGCAUACGAGCAGGCUAAGAGAGACAUUGAGAUUGAAGAGGAGAAGGCAGCACGGAUUAAGACAGACCAGUUAGAAGGGUUGGGGAGGAAAGAGAAGAAAGCAUUACCAGGGAAUGGGCCGAUCAGGAGGAGGGACCACCAAGCCUCGGGUAGUGGAGCAGGAGGUCGGGUAACUGCUUACCAGCCUCAUCAGAGGCCACCACAGUAUCAGCGCAGUAGGGCGCAACUUCCUCGUUCCCCAGCUAGGGAGCCUUGGAGAAGGCAUGAUUCGGCAUAUGGUGGUCUCCAUCAACAUUCCCACGGUAGCAGAGGGAGCAGACCAGAAGUACUACCACAGCCCCCAACUCAGAACGGAGCAAACAGAGAAAGAGCAGUGCACCUGAUCGACCAGAACCAGGACUAUGAGCAGUAUACUUCCUUGAAGAUGUCCCUGGACGAGGUGUACGAGGCCAUAAAGGAUCGGGGGUUGCUAUACCUCCCUGCUCAAAUAACAAAGCUACCCAGCAGGAGGGAUAGGGGACGCUAUUGUAAGUUCCAUGGCACUCAUGGCCACACCACAGCAGAUUGCAGAGAUCUUAAGACCCAGGUCGAAGAUUUGGUGAGAAAUCGGUAUCUGGACGAGUUUGUAGAUGGGACCUUCCCAAUGGUAGCCUCAACAAGUGAAGGGGAGUAGAGUGACAGGAACUUGAGGCGCGAGCAGCCUGCAGUAAGGGUUAUAGCUGGGGGCCCAACAUUGGCGGGAGAUUCCAACAGGUCGAGGAAGAAUUAUGCUAGAUACGCCAUGACCAGCAAAGAGGUAUUCUUCAACACCCCAGCAGCCAAACGUGCAAGAGUCAGGCAAGUGCCAAUCAUGUGGACAGAUGAGGAUGAGGAAGGGAUUCUAUACCCUCACGAGGAUGCUUUGGUCAUCAAGGCCACCGUUGCUAGCAAGAAGUUUGACAGGAUACUGGUUGACACAAGGAGCUCAGUUGACGUAUUGUUUAAGUCAACCCUGGAGGAGAUGGGGAUAGCAGACCUGAAGUUGGAUUACACCAAUACCUUCUUGAAGGGGUUUGGAGGACGAAGGCUGGUCCCUCUGGGCGUGGUCGAGCUGCCUAUCACGAUCGCGAGUUCCCCGACAGAAAGGACAAUGAUACUAGACUUUGUAGUAGUAGAUGAGGAAGGUCCUUACCAGAUGAUCCUAGGCCGGCCAUUUCUGAGGAUGAGCAAAGCGGUGCUGUCCAACCAUUAUCUGGCCCUCAAGUACCGGGUGAAUGAAGUAGUUGGAGUGGUACGAGGAGACCAGAGAAUCGCAAGAAGCUGCUACUCUUCGGCAGCAAGGGAAGCAAUGCAGAUAACAUCCAUUGACACCCGAGUGGAAAACGAGAAUGGCAGACAAGAACCUGUAGAGGAGCUGGAGACAGUAAGCCUGGGAUCAGAGAAUCCGGGAAAGACGAUCAGAAUCGGGUCGAGACUUAAAGAAAAGCAGAAGCAGGAGUUGGUGAAAUGCUUACAGGCUCAUGCAGAUGUGUUUGAAUCUUGAUCUGCUAACGGAAAAAAGGGAGCAAGCAGCUGGUCAAUCAGCCAUUUACCAGCAAAGGGUCACUCGUUAUUAUAACCAGAAGGUUAAUGUACGACAAUUCAGGGUCGGAGACUGGGUACUGAGAAGAGUGAAUCAGAGUACCAAAGAUUCGACUCAAGGAGUGCUGGGACCGAAUUGGGAAGGGCCAUAUAGAGUCAAGCAGAUAGUGGGACACGGAGCUUACAAGCUGGUUCGCACGGACGGCCGCGAGGUGAAACGCCCUUGGAACGCAGCACACCUCCGCAAAUACUUCCAGUAAGAUCUGUUCACAUUUUAAAGCUAUUUCCGCUCGUGCUCGUUAUCUUUUAUUUUUUAUAUUUUAUGUCAAAGCAAGUUCAUGUAAAACCAACUCCUGCAAUUAAUGGAACGUCGAGGAAUUUCAUUCAGUUGAAACUGUGAUAAAUUUUCUAAGGCAUGCGAAGGCUCACCAAGUCUCAAAGCCUGUUUAUGGCGAGACCAGAAGCCAAGCGUGCCGGGAUCUGCUCGACCACGCGAAGGCGAGCAGAAUCCCAAUCAUUGAAGAAAAUAACUAAGGCAUGCAAAGGCUCACCAAGUCUCAAAGCCUGUUUAUGGCGAGACCAGAAGCCAAGCGUGCCAGGAUCUGCUCGACCACUCGAAGGCGAGCAGAAUCCCAAUCAUUGAAGAAAAUAAUUAAGGCAUGCAAAGGCUCACCAAGUCUCAAUGCCUGUUUAUGGCGAGACCAAAAGCCAAGCGUGCCAGGAUCUGCUCGACCACGCAAAGGCGAGCAAAAUCCCAAUCAUUGAAGAAAAUAACUAAGGCAUGCAAAGGCUCACCAAGACUCAAAGCCUGUUUAUGGCGAGACCAGAAGCCAAGCGUGCCAGGAUCUGCUCGACCACGCGAAGGCGAGCAGAAUCCCAAUCAUUGAAGAAAAUAACUAAGGCAUGCAAAGGCUCACCAAGACUCAAAGCCUGUUUAUGGCGAGACCAGAAACCAAGCGUACCAGGAUCUGCUCGACCACGUGACGGCGAGCAGAAUCCCAAUCAUUGAAGAAAAUAACAAAGGCAUGCAAAGGCUCACCAAGUCUCAAAGCCUGUUUAUGGCGAGACCAGAAGCCAAGCGUGCCAGGAUCUGCUCGACCACGCGACGGCGAGCAGAAUCCCAAUCAUUGAAGAAAAUAACUAAGGCAUGCAAAGGCUCACCAAGUCUCAAAGCCUGUUUAUGGCAAGACCAGAAGCCAAGCGUGCCAGGAUCUGCUCGACCACACGAAGGCGAGCAGAAUCCCAAUCAUUGAAGAAAAUAACUAAGGCAUGCAAAGGCUCACCAAGACUCAAAGCCUGUUUAUGGCGAGACCAGAAGCCAAGCGUGCCAGGAUCUGCUUGACCACGCGAAGGCGAGCAGAAUCCCAAUCAUUGAAGAAAAUAACUAAGACAUGCAAAGGCUCACCAAGUCUCAAAGCUUGUUUAUGGCGAGGCCAGAAGCCAAGCGUGCCAGGAUCCGCUCGACCACGCGAAGACGAGCAGAAUCCCAGUCACUGAAGAAAGUAUCUAAGGCACGCAAAGGCUCAUAAAGUCUCAAAGCCUGUUUAUGGCGAGACCAGAAGCAAAGCGUGCCAGGUUCUGCUCGACCGCGCGAAGGCGAGCAGAAACCCAAGCAUUGAAAAAUUUUCUAAGUAAUGUAGAAAGACCAUAUUCUUAACCAGAGCCUGCUCGGCCAAGCGAAGGCGAGCAGACCCUCAACAGAAAAUUUACUUGUAAAUACAAAACACAAGAAAGUAAUCAAAAACAAUUUUCAUUAAUUUAUCAAUAACCAACAAAGUUGUUCAUUACAACGCAUGAAAUAUGUUCAAGAAGAUGGCGGAUCAGUAAGCCGAGUAGCGUCGGUCGGCUGGACCUCCUCGGGUACAGGGGGGUAUCACCAGUUGCGUCCGGGGGGGUGCUCGCCUCGCCGACGUCAGCAGGGAUUGCACGAGGAGGAGAGUUUUCCUCCUCAAUCACGAUCGGCUCCACCCCUUCGGCAUCUUCCUUGGCCGCCUCCUCGUCCAUAUGUUGAGCAACACCAGCUGCAAGGUCAUCCAUCUUCAGAUCAGGAUGCUGCUUCCCGAGGACGGCCAUGAUGCAACGAUAAGAAUGCCGGAGUCCCUGGUCGUACUGGUUGUCGGCCUCCUUCUCUAAGUUUUCGACCUGAACCCGGUGGGAAUCGCGGAGAGAUUCGAGCUGAGCCUCGUACAAAGCUUUCUGACUCUGCAGAUCCUCCUUGACCUUGGCCAGCUCUUCCUCGAGAGUGAUAGCCUUUGCUUGGGCAAGAGACUCUCGCUCAAUCAACUUCAGAUUCUCGGGGUUCAAGUCCCCUGCUUUCUUUUCGGCAACACCAGCUCUGGUCGUCGCCGACUGAAUGUCCUCCUUCAUCUUCCUAUCAUAGCGGCCAACUUUGGCCUUAUAGUAGGUGGUCAUGCAGCUGAGAUGGAAGGCGCUAUACUGCAUGGCCCCCACCAGCUCGCCUAGACUACAUCCAUCAAAGUCCUCCAGAUCCUUCUUGCUCACGAGUUUGGAAAGCUCGUUGAGAUAGGGAGCCAAGUGUUCUGCUCGGCUAUCAGGCAAACGAGAUCUAGGCCCGACAGGUGGAGAAGAGGAAGCAGGAUCAGUGGCUGCUCCACUGGUCUCGCCGAGUUUGGCAGGAGGAGGAGGUAAAGUCUUCAAGGGAGAGACCUGCUGCACGAUGUUGGCCCGCUUUGCAGUAGGGGCGUCCUUGUUCUGGUCCCUCUUCGUGGUUUGAGGUCGAGAACGUUUCCUGUUCAGAGCCCCAAUCACAGCGUCCUCCAUCUUAUGGCCAGGGAGUACCAAGCGAGACUCGAGCAAGUUGUAAGUAGUUAGCAGUUCUCGGCUCGGGCAGGUAUUGGGUAGUACGGCCUCAACCUGUUUGAGCUGGUCAGGUUGGAGUGGGAAAUGAACACCCCAAGAAACUACAACACAAACAGACACUUGGUUAGAGGUAAGCCAAUAAAGCAGGAACAAUUAUGCAUACAAGACAUCUAAGCGAGCAUGCAACCUGGGACCGUGAAACGGGGUGGGAUGCGACAAUCCUUCCCGUCUAUUUGUGCAACUUGACCCCAAGGACCCCCAGCAAAAAAGAAUUUUCUCUUCCAAGUCCCACCACCACCAGUUGGAAGAUCAGUUAUGGGUUUCCUGCUCUUGGUACUAGAUUGGAAGUAGUACCAGCCGGCAUCUUUGGGGCUGUUCUUUAGCUGGUACAGGUGUUUCACCUCGUCGACCGUGGGCUCGCUUUGACAACAUCUGUCCCACAAGAUGAAUAGACUAGAGAGCACUCUCCACCCGUUGGGGUUCAGCUGACCAGGAGCUAGAUUCAACCCGCUAAGAAUCCGGGCAAAGUAGGGUUGCAAGGGACACCUCAGCCCAUGCUUAAAACUCUCCAAAAACAAGGUAACAUAUCCCCUAGGAGGCCGGCUAGAGGUAUCCUUCUUUCCUGGGAUCUUAAGAAGUAUCUCACCAGGAAUGCUAUACCUAAGCCGGAGGUUAGCGAGCUCGUCAAACGUGGUCGUGCACGUCAUAUAAUCAAUAGCGUAAUCCCGCGAUAGGGCUCUACCUCCUGCUGUACUCUACCCUUCUGGUCGUGACGCUCCUGAUGGUGAUGCCUCACCAGAAUCAUCUCCACGAUCCUCACUCAGGGUGUUCUCCGAUCCAGAAGACCCUUCCUCAUCGCUAUUUCCGCUCGAGGAGGUUGUUUGGGGGGACAUCCUCCUAGUGCUAGUGCCAACACUAGAUCUAAUGGGCUCUAAGGGGAUCCCGGGGUCAAAAGCAGGAUCGGUGAGCAGACUAGGCAAGAAGUCCAACUCAUCGUCAUCAACCUCAAUGACCUUCUCUUUACCUCUCGACAUUCCCUAAGCUCUAACCACAACACCACCACCAACUACUACCCAAACAAAAGAGAAGAGAAAUUAUCUACAACUAUCCGAGACCAGGGAGAUAGAAGAAGUACCUGAAGUAAUGGUUCAGUCGGAGAAAGACAGAGAUGGAGGCCCCUAUGCCGGAACUUCUUUCCGGAGAGACAGAGACGAAGACGGAGUGAAUGACGAAUUUGUCGUUCGAAAGGAUUUGGGUUUCCUAAUGGAGACGGACUCUUGGGUUGCCAGCAUUUAACGACACCAAAUCUCAAGGGCCUCGUAACCGUUGGUUUGAAAUUCGAAUAGAGGGGCAGAUGUCUGCCACAUCACCUCGUCCGCAAUUAAAUGCGACAUGACUCUUGGCAGCCUUUUCCCAUCCCACGCGAGCAAGUACUGUUGAGUUUCUACUGCUGGUCCACUACAUUACCCAAACACUAGAAACUGGGGGACCGAUGUUUGGGAGAAGUACGUCGACGAGACCAGGCAUGAUGAGCAGUUAUCUGAUGGCAGAGUUCUGCGAACAGGUGUGUCCUGUAAGAGACUGGUGACCGGGGAGCAGGAGCAGAAAUAUUCUGCUCGUCCGCGAGCAUGCCGUCCACGAGGCUGGGCUCCUGCUGUAGCAUGGAGCAUUCCUGCUAAAGGUUUUAAUCGAGGAGACCCGGUCAACGAGAAUUGGUGCGAUGGGCUCUGCAAUCCGAAAAUCAAGGUACUAAGGCCACGCAUUGUUAGAGUGCAAUUUAUGCACUAGUUUUGCAUUAUUUACUUCCCUUAAUAUCGAUGUUUUGCAUUUAAUAAUAAUGUUUUACUUGUGUUUUACUUUUGUAGAUGCAAUUAUAUUGAUUGAUGAUAAAAUUGAGCUAAAAGAUGAUGUUUAAGAAGGAUUGUUCUCUUGGAGAAAUUUCUGAGCGUCAGAAGAACUUUGUUGAUAAGGCGUGGGUGCGUGCUGUUAACUGCGGACCUGCAGUUUUUAGUUUAACGUGUUUUAUAUUUUUGGUUAUUUUUGUAAUUACGAAUUUAAUAUUUCAGAUAUUAGUAUUUUAUUUUAAAUAGAAUUCUAAAAGAGAAGAGAGAGAGAGUAUUUAAGGGAGGAAUCUAUUGUGAAAAAGGGGGGAUUUUUGGAUUGGAGAAAAAGAAACCCUAGAUCUAAUUUUUCUCUUCUCUCUAUGAGGAACUAAACCCAUUUUUCUGGUUGAAGGAUAAUGAAGCUUUGAUUCAUCACUACUGUGAGAUCUUUCUUGUGCUUUAAUUGUUUUAUUGCUUUUUGGGUAUUUGUUUAUUCUCUGAAUUAGUUUCAUGAUUAUGUUUGUUAAUUAGGUAAUUGGCCACUAUUUAAUUAUCAACUUAAUCUAUUGUCAAUUAAAGGAUUCAUCGUAUGAAGAAUUUAAUGUUUGUGACAAAUAACAUAGCAGAGAGUUGUGUUGUGAGAAUAAACAAUCUAAUUUAAAUGAAUCAUCUUAUGUGUUGAUUAGGAUUUGGGUCUCUCUGGUUUCUCAGGCUGUCUAUUGAUUAAAUCCUAUGAUCGUAUCUAGGGUUGUCUAUUGAUUAGGGAAGUAACCAACGGUCGUACCUUGGUUAUCGACUAGUUAAGGAGAGAUUGGCUAUUAGAGGGUCUCAGUAGCUAUAACCGAUCUAUUCAUAAGUAAUAAUAAUAAUCUAUAUUUGAAUUAAUGAUCAGUAGUCGAAUCAAGCUGAGUUAAUUCCUUCAACCAGAGCUUUCUCCAAUUUGAAUUACAACUUUAAUUUGCAUUCUUGUUUAUUUCAAUUUGAUUUUUAUUAUUGUCAACAAUUCCCCCAUUUUACGUUUUACGUUUCAAAAGGAUUUAAAUAAUUACCGAUCUCUGUGGACACGACCCUGCUCAAUCACUAUACACAAUUUAUUUAGAGUAGGAAUUUAUUUUUGUUGGCUUCGACACCCAUCAAAUUUUGGCGCCGUUGCCGGGGAUUGGUGUCAUUUAUUUAAUCCUUUUUACGUUUUACUUAGUGUAUGGUUCGUUCUUCUCGUACAUGUACACUUUCAUUUGAUCCUGAAAUUGAGAAGACAGCUCGCCAGCUGAGACAGCAGACAAAGCGAGCUAAGCAACGAUCCUCGUCGCCUUUGCUUUCUGAAACAGAUACGGUGCCUGAUUUAGUUGAAUCAUCUAGAGAUUCAGAAGAACAAGUGAUGGAUAGACCUGCACCUGUAGAAAGAACUCUUAGAGAGUUAGCUGAACCAGACUUGAAUCAACAACCACUCUGCAUUCAAUAUGUAGACUUGGAGGUAAAUUUUGAAUUAAAGUCUGGUCUUAUUCAUUUAUUACCCAAGUUUCAUGAUUUUGCAGGUGAAGAUCCCCAUAAACAUCUUAAGGAGUUUCAUGUUGUGUGUUCAAGUAUGAGACCACAAGGCGUGACUGAAGAGCAGAUUAAGCUGCGUGUUUUUCCGUUCUCUGUAGAUGGGCUAACUAAAGAUUGGUUGUACUACUUGCCUCCUGGAUCGAUUACAACGUGGAAUGGUUUGAAGAAGCAGUUCCUUGAGAAGUACUUUCCUGCUUCAAGAGCUGCCAACAUCAGAAAAGAUAUUUGUGGGAUCAGACAACUUCCUGGGGAGACUUUGUAUGAGUAUUGGGAGCGAUUCAAACAAUUGUGUGCCAGUUGUCCUCAGCAUCAGAUUUCUGAUCAACUUCUUAUUCAAUAUUUUUACGAAGGAUUGUCAUUUAUGGAUAGGAGUAUGAUAGAUGCUGCUAGUGGAGGCGUGUUGGUGAACAAGACCCCUACUCAAGCAAGGGAGUUGAUAUCAAAUAUGGCUGCCAAUGUACAACAAUUUGGCAGCAGGCAAGAUCUCACUUCAAGGAAGGUGAAUGAGGUAAAUAUUUCUUCUGUUGAACAACGUUUAGAUAAACUCACUUCUCUUGUGGAAAAGUUUGUUGUAGGUAAUGUACAACAGGUGAAGACUUGUGGUAUUUGUUACAAUAUGGGUCAUUCAACUGAUAUGUGUCCUACACUUCAAGAAGAACCCGUUGAACAAGCCAAUGCAGUUGGAGGAUUUCCAGGCAUGCCUCAGAGGAGGUAUGAUCCUUAUGCACAAACAUACAAUCCGGGAUGGAAGGAUCAUCCCAACUUCAGCUAUGGAGUUAGGCCGUCAAGAUUCCCACAACAGUAUCCACCAAGACAACCAACACCUCCACAGUCAAACUCCAAGUCAGGUAUAUCUCUUGAAGAAAUUGUUAAAUCACUUGCGACUAACACUCAACAAUUUCAGCAGGCAACUACAGCAAGCAUUCAGAACUUGGAAAACCAAGUGAGUCAAUUGGCAACUACGAUGAGCCGUCUAGAGUCUCAAGUAUCUGGGAAAUUGCCUUCACAAACUGAGGUGAAUCCAAAGCAAAACGCCAGUGCCGUCAUCCUUAGAAGUGGGAAGGAGUUGCAAGAGCCUAGUAAGAAAGUGACAGAGCAUGUAGAAGAUGAGCUUGAAAAGAAUGAAUUGAUGCCUAAAUCUCAGGAUGCGCAACCCACCAGAGCGAAACCCCUACCUAUUGUGAUACCUCCUCCUUUUCCAAGCAGGUUUGCAAAAUCCAAGAAGGAGGAACAAGAGAAAGACAUCCUUGAGACAUUUCGCAAGGUUGAGGUAAAUAUUCCCUUAUUAGAUGCUAUAAAACAAAUACCUCGAUAUGCUAAAUUUCUUAAGGAACUGUGCACCUCCAAGAGAAAAUUAAGAGGAGAUGAAAGAGUUCAUAUGGGGGAGAAUGUUUCAGCAGUUCUCCAAAAGAAAUUACCUCCCAAGUGCAAGGAUCCAGGUAUGUUUACUAUCCCUUGCAAAAUUGGUAGUGUUAGAGUUGAGAAGGCUAUGUUAGAUCUAGGAGCUUCUAUUAAUGUCAUGCCUCGUUCUAUUUAUUCGUCUUUGAAUAUUGGUGCAUUAAAAGAAACUGACGUGAUAAUUCAACUAGCUGAUAGGUCUAAUGCAUAUCCUGAUGGGGUAUUAGAAGAUGUCUUAGUACAAGUUAAUGAGUUGGUUUUUCCUUCUGAUUUUUAUGUACUUGAUAUGGAAGAUGAUAACUCCUCUAAUUCUAUCCCAAUUUUGCUAGGAAGACCUUUUCUUAAGACUGCUAGAACUAAAAUGGAUGUACAUAAAGGGACUCUUACUAUGGAGUUUGAUGGAGAGGUUAUAGAGUUCAAUAUGUAUGAUGCCAUGAAAUAUCUCAGUGAGGAACAUUCGGUAUUUUCUAUGGAUGUUAUUAACCCUAUAGUGCAGGAAGUUUUUUAUUUGGAUGUUGAAGAUUCAUUAGUAGCUGCUUUAAAUAACAGUUUGGGCCUCAAAGGAUUGCAAAAGGAUGAAAAUGAGUUUGUUUUAAAUUCUGUAUUGCAAGAGACAAUUUAUGAAUUAAAUUCUUUGAGAACUUUAACUCAUUAUAUGUCUAAUAAUGAAUUACCUUCAUCUAAUGCAAAACUUCUUCCAUCUAUUUUGCAGGCACCAAAAAUAGAGCUUAAACCAUUGCCUAGUCAUCUAAAGUACAUGUUUUUAAGAGAUGAUGAGACACUUCCGGUGAUCAUCUCUUCAAAGCUUAGUACUUUAGAGGAAGAGAAACUUAUUAGAGUGCUACGAGAUUACAAAAAGGCUAUUGGGUGGACAAUUGCAGAUAUUAAAGGGAUAAGUCCGUCCACGUGCAUGCAUAGAAUACUGCUGGAGGAAGAUGCCAAACCUUCAAUUCAAGCUCAACGCUGUUUGAAUCCACUCAUGAUGGAAGUAGUGAAGAAAGAAAUUCUAAAACUUCUUGAUGCAGGUAUAAUCUAUCCAAUUUCGAAUAGCAAAUGGGUAAGUCCGGUACAAGUGGUACCAAAGAAAACUGGUAUAACAAUUGUUGAGAAUUCUUAUGGUGAGUUAGUUCCUACCCGAGUUCAGAAUGGGUGGAGGGUUUGUAUUGAUUUUAGAAAGCUUAAUUCACUCACUAGGAAGGAUCAUUUUCCUAUUCCUUUUAUUGAUCAGAUGCUUGAAAGGUUGGCAGGAAAAUCUCACUUUUGUUGUCUUGAUGGCUAUUCAGGUUUUCAUCAGAUACCAGUUGCGCCUGAGGAUCAGGAGAAGACUACCUUCACAUGUCCUUUUGGAACCUUUGCAUACCGACGUAUGCCAUUUGGUCUUUGUAACGCUCCCGCCACUUUUCAGAGGUGCAUGGUUAGUAUUUUUUCAGACUAUGUAGAAAACACUAUAGAGGUAUUUAUGGACGAUUUUACAGUCUAUGCUGAUUCUUUCGAUGAUUGUCUCUAUAAUCUGAAGAAAGUGCUUGAAAGAUGCAUUGAAACAAACCUUGUCUUGAAUUAUGAAAAAUGUCAUUUUAUGGUAGAUCAAGGCAUUAUUUUGGGUCAUGUAGUCUCUGCUAGAGGAAUUGAGGUAGAUAAAGCUAAAAUAGAUGUUAUUAAAUCUUUACCUUAUCUCACAUGUGUGCGGAAAGUUCGUUCUUUCCUUGGUCAUGCAGGUUUCUAUAGACGAUUUAUCAAGGAUUUUUCGAAGAUAGCUCAGCCUUUAUGCAAGCUUCUUCAGAAAGAUGUGACGUUUGAUUUUAAUAAAGCAUGCAAGGUAGCAUUUGAUAAACUUAAGGAGUUGUUGACUUCAGCUCCAAUUAUACAGCCACCAGACUGGAGCCUCCCUUUUGAGAUAAUGUGCGACGCCAGUAAUUAUGCUGUUGGUGCUGUUCUCGGACAAAGGGUUGGAAGAGCUGCUCAUGUGAUAUAUUACGCAUCAAGAACACUUGAUAGUGCUCGGUGCAAUUACUCAACAACAGAAAAAGAACUUUUAGCUAUUGUUUUUGCUUUAGAAAAAUUCCGUUCAUAUUUAUUGGGUACUAAAGUGAUUGUUUUUUCUGACCAUGCAGCUCUCAGAUAUUUGCUCGCCAAGAAGGAAGCAAAACCGAGACUUAUUCGCUGGAUCCUAUUGCUUCAAGAAUUCAACUUGGAGAUCCGUGACAAGAAAGGAACAGAAAACUUAGUUGCAGACCACCUUAGUAGAUUGACCACGAGUGAAGAAGCAGCACCUUCGAAAGAUGAUUUUCCAGAUGAGCAUCUCUUUAUAACUCAAGGUAUGGUUCCUUGGUACGCUGACAUUGUCAAUUACUUAGUUACAAGAAUACUACCUAGUGAUCUGACGAGGGCUCAAAAGGAUAAAAUUAAGAGCGAUGCUAAAUACUAUGUUUGGGAUGACCCUUACUUGUGGAAACAUUGCUCUGACCAAGUCAUCAGAAGGUGCGUAUCUGAGUUUGAAAUUCCUUCUAUUCUUCAAUUUUGUCACUCAUAUGCAUGUGGUGGUCAUUUUGGUCCCAAAAGGACAGCAUCCAAGGUGUUAGAAUGUGGUUUAUUUUGGCCUACUUUAUUUCGUGAUUCAUAUAUGUUUUGUAAGUCGUGUGAGAGUUGUCAAAAGACUGGUAAUUUAAGUCAUAGAAAUCAAAUGCCACUUACCCCUAUUCUUGUAUAUGAAAUAUUCGAUGUGUGGGGCAUUGAUUUUAUGGGACCUUUUCCCUCAUCUUUUGGCAAUUCUUACAUUCUUUUAGCAGUGGAUUACGUUUCUAAGUGGGUAGAGGCUAAGGCCACCCGGACUGACAAUGCUAAAGUUGUUGUAGAUUUUGUCAAGUCUAAUAUUUUUGCUAGGUUUGGUGUACCGAGAGCGAUGAUAAGUGAUAGAGGCACUCAUUUCUGUAAUCGAGUGGUGGAAGCUCUGUUCAAAAGAUAUCAUGUUACCCACCGAGUGUCUACCGCCUAUCAUCCACAGACAAGUGGACAAGCUGAGAUAUCAAACAGAGAAAUCAAGUCUAUUCUUGAAAAGACAGUUAGUCCAAAUCGAAAGGAUUGGAGUUUGCGAUUAGAUGAUGCAUUAUGGGCGUAUCGCACCGCUUACAAAACUCCCAUAGGUAUGUCUCCUUAUCGUUUAGUAUUUGGUAAGCCUUGUCAUUUACCUGUAGAACUUGAGCACAGAGCAUACUGGGCAGUUAAGCAAUGCAAUAUGCGGAUGGAUGAAGCGGGAAAGCAGAGGAAGUUGCAGCUGCAAGAGUUGGAGGAGAUUAGAAAUGAAUCCUACGAGAGUUCGCGAUUUUACAAGGAAAAGACGAAGACAUUUCAUGACAGAAUGAUUUUGAGAAAGGAGUUCUCUGUUGGUCAAAAAGUUCUUCUCUUUCACUCUAAACUUAAACUUUUUCCUGGUAAAUUACGUUCUCGUUGGGUAGGACCUUUUAUUGUUACUAAUAUUUUUCCUCAUGGUGCAAUUGAGAUUCGGAGUCCAAUCUCGAAUAAAGCCUUUAAGGUUAAUGGUCAUCGUUUAAAACCUUUUUACGAAGGUUUUUCGGUGAAUAUUGUGGAGGAAUUGGCUCUCGAGAAUCCUAUUUAUGGAGAUUGAUACAUAAAUGUGUCUAGCCAAAGACAUAAAACAAAGGCGCUUUUUGGGAGGCAACCCAAAUGAUUUGUUUAUUUUGGUUUUUGUUUUAUCUUCUUUAAAAAAAAAAAAAAAAAAAACCAAAAAUCGAAAAUCACUGUUUACAAAUCCCUAAUUCAAAAAUUACUGUUGAUUAUCGUUUUACAGCAGCAUCAGCUCCAGCCUUCACCGCGCAACCAGCAGCAGCAGACGAGUACGCCCAGAACCAGCAGCAAGCUCCAACAUCCCCAGCCCGCGCGCGCAGCGCGAAUCAGCCCCAACCGCCGCGCACAGCAUCGCGUACCCCAACCAGCAGUAGCGCGAAUCAGCCUCAGCGCAGCAUAUCAGUCCCGCGCGCGUAGCGCAACAGAUCCGCAACGCAGACCCGCAACGCGAACUGGCUCUCGCGCGCAACAGCCCCGCGCGCGCAACACAACAACGAACCAGCACCCGCAAAGCAAGCCUCAGCAGCGCGCACAACCAGCCCCAACUCGCGCAACAAGCUCCAGCCGAGCAGCAAGCGCAACACAACCAGCCUACGCCCUGUAUUCCAGCCGGGUAAAUCGAAAUCCGUGAGUGCAAUUAUUGUAACAAUGCCGAAGAGGAAAGCAUCUACUUCCAAGUCGUCGAAAAAGACACCCGUCGCAAAGAAAUCUAAGAUUGCCGCUCCCACUACGGUUCCAUGGAACAUAAUUUCAGAUUCACGCCAAGCCGUGAGACAAAGAUCGAAGCAUGGAAAAGGCAUGAGUGUUUUGCCACUUGCGGAAUCCAAUCUCGGAGGGUGCCUCGCAUUCGCGACUCAACAAGAGAAAGAGAGGUACAAAGAUAUUUCCACGCGCAAAAUACUUCCAGCUAAGUAUAUUCAUUACCCGACUCUUGAAAAAUUAAAUGUUAAAGAUAAUUUUGAUUCUUUGAUAGAUAAGAUUGGGUUGCGUAAGUUUGUUGAUGUUGAUUGCUUGGGUUAUGUUGAGUUGAUUAGGGAGUUUUAUGCUACUUUUCAAUUCACUAUGCCGAAUGAUUUUACUUUGCAUACCCCGGAUGUCAUUAAGUUUAGGUUAAUGGGACGAAAUUUUUCACACUCUAUCACGGAUUUUAACCUAGCUUUAGGAUUCAUUGAUGAUGAUUAUUCUACUAGUGAUGAAUAUUUAGGAACAACUUGUGACUUUAGCGAAAAUUUUGAGCCUUAUGGUCUUUGGCGUAAUUUAUCUGUUGAUCACAAUGCCUAUGACCCGAGUAAAUCAAAGAGUUCUUUCUUACGUGAUCCUGUUUUGAAAUGUGUGCAUCGAUUCUUAGCAUAUAAUUUUUUAGGCAAGAAAGAUCACUCAGGAAUUUUCUCUAAAACUGAAUUUUAUUUUAUCUGGUGCAUGUUAAAUGAUGUGAGGCCUAAUUUAGGUUUUUGGUUAGCGGAUCAAUUUCAAAGUGUGCUUAAACGGUAUAGGACUUUAUUUCUUGGUCCAUACAUUACUCUGUUAGCUAUAAACCUAUGUGUGCUUGAUCCUGACAAUAAUGAUUUGCAUCCUGCUUGCAAAAAGGAAUUUUUGGAUAUGUCUGUGUUUGAAAGAACAGGUGUGGUCGAAUUCAAGGAGGGGAGAUUUCAGUUUACUGAACCAGGACCCACUCAACUUCCGAAGAAGCUUUAUGCUAGGAGUGGUGCUACCUCUGAUGACGAGUUUGACGACGACACUGUUGCCCCGCCAACUAUUCCUUCUACAUCCGCACCACCUUUGAGCAUUCAGUUAGAGAAAAUGGAGCACAAGUUGAACAAAAUGGAGCAGAAUUUGGCCGCAUACUUCGAGAGUGUGGGAUUUACCCCACCAUUUCCGCCAAGCCCAUAGACGUUAUGUGGAUCAAAGCUCACAAUUCAGGGAAGUUUCUUUUUGCCCUUAAACUUUUAUCCUUAUGCUUUAAUUUUUAUGUGAGCUUUGAUUAUCUUACAUUGGGGACAAUGUAAGUUCUUGGUGUGGGGGAGGGAUUUUUGCAUUAUUGAUGUCUGGAAUUAUUGUUUUCACUCUACUUAUCUUUUUUUUUUUCUUCACUCUACUCAUCCUUAAAUGAUUUUGGAGUUAGUAUGCUUUAUAUAUUAUUAUUUUUUCUUUUCUUUUAUUUCUCACUACUUUUUUUUUCCCAUCUAUCUCAAAUUAUUUACAUCUAUUUUUAUUCUAUCAUACUCUUUCAUCACUCACAUUUUAUCUUUCACUUUUCAUCUUUCUCACUUCUUAUCAUUUUUACCUUUCCUUUUAUAUAUCACUCAUACCUUCUUCUCAUUCUACACCACUAUUGAUGGUUGAUUCAUUUGAAGAGUGUACAUGAUUUGAUGGCAAAUUUACCAACUUUGUGAGGAUUUGAGCCUAUGAGCAACCACUUUGCUCUAAUUAUUUUUGUUAUGUGAAUAUCAAUCCUAGUUUGUUUAUUCUAGAACUUGCUUUGUUAUGCAUGUUGAAGCCACAUUACGGGAUUUUAGGCAUUAAAAUGAUAAGGGCAAACCAUUUACCAUUUUUCUAUUCUCGCAUUUUCAUUUUUCUUUACCCGAAGACCUUAAUUUGCUACCUUUGUUUGAGCCUUAACCAUUACCCAUCUAAUUCUCUCCGUCUACUUAACCAUUUUUCUUCUUUUUGAGCCUCAAUUUAAGGAGAUUUUUGGACUCAUUAUAUGGAUAUAUUUUGUUGCUUUUUCUACCUUGUAUUAAAGUUUCUCAAUUAGAUCAACAAGCAUUAUGCUUGAAUUCAAUUGUGCAAGGUUCGUUUCUUUUGUUUGAUUCGAAAAAAAAAAAAAACAAAAAAAAAAAUGAAAAAAAAAAAGAAAAAAAAAGAAAAAAAAAAGAAAAAAAAAAGAAAAAGAAAAAUCGAAAAAAAAAAUCGAAAAAAAAAAAUGUUUACAUUCUUGGUGACUUGAGUAGAAAUAAGCAUUUUGAUAUCAUAAGUUCAUUCAAUGAGUUCAUUCUUCUCAUUUUGAUCUCUUUUUCUUUCGUAAACCUUUCUUUUUCAUUUAACCCAUUUAACCCCAUUACAACCCUUUUAAGACCCUUAGAUUUUUGCAUUUUAUUCAUGUUUUGUGGAUUGAGAUGUGAUUUAUGAGCAAGCUUAUGAUAAUAGCAUUCUUUGAUUUGAUUUGAGUGGAUAAAUGACACCCUAAACACUUUGAGUGCAUGGAGUGAAGUUAUUGAGAGGGCUAUUACAUCUUGUUGCACUUGAAUUUUGAAUGGAUAUUCUUGGUGGUUGAAUGUUCUUAUUCUAUCUUAUGAGAUUCUAUGCUUUAAAAUCCUUGUCUCUUGAAUGUUGAUCGACUUAAUUUCUUGAGGUAUGCUUGCUUAAAAUUAUUUUUGGAUGAGUUGAGAUGAGAAUUGAGUGGAGAUUUAGGAUUAAUCUUGAGUUAUAUGCUUGAGGACAAGCAUCAUCUUGGUGUGGGGGAAUUUGUUAGAGUGCAAUUUAUGCACUAGUUUUGCAUUAUUUACUUCCCUUAAUAUCGAUGUUUUGCAUUUAAUAAUAAUGUUUUACUUGUGUUUUACUUUUGUAGGUGCAAUUAUAUUGAUUGAUGAUAAAAUUGAGCUAAAAGAUGAUGUUUAAGAAGGAUUGUUCUCUUGGAGAAAUUUCUGAGUGUCAGAAGAACUUUGUUGAUAAGGCGUGGGCGCGUGCUGUCAACUGCGGACCUGCAGUUUUUAGUUUAACGUGUUUUGUAUUUUUGGUUAUUUUUGUAAUUACGAAUUUAAUAUUUCAGAUAUUAGUAUUUUAUUUUAAAUAGAAUUCUAAAAGAGAAGAGAGAGAGAGUAUUUAAGGGAGGAAUCUAUUGUGAAAAAGGGGGGAUUUUUGGAUUGGAGAAAAAGAAACCCUAGAUCUAAUUUUUCUCUUCUCUCUAUGAGGAACUAAACCCAUUUUUCUGGUUGAAGGAUAAUGAAGCUUUGAUUCAUCACUACUGUGAGAUCUUUCUUGUGCUUUAAUUGUUUUAUUGCUUUUUGGGUAUUUGUUUAUUCUCUGAAUUAGUUUCAUGAUUAUGUUUGUUAAUUAGGUAAUUGGCCACUAUUUAAUUAUCAACUUAAUCUAUUGUCAAUUAAAGGAUUCAUCGUAUGAAGAAUUUAAUGUUUGUGACAAAUAACAUAGCAGAGAGCUGUGUUGUGAGAAUAAACAAUCUAAUUUAAAUGAAUCAUCUUAUGUGUUGAUUAGGAUUUGGGUCUCUCUGGUUUCUCAGGCUGUCUAUUGAUUAAAUCCUAUGAUCGUAUCUAGGGUUGUCUAUUGAUUAGGGAAGUAACCAACGGUCGUACCUUGGUUAUCGACUAGUUAAGGAGAGAUUGGCUAUUAGAGGGUCUCAGUAGCUAUAACCGAUCUAUUCAUAAGUAAUAAUAAUAAUCUAUAUUUGAAUCAAUGAUCAGUAGUCGAAUCAAGCUGAGUUAAUUCCUUCAACCAGAGCUUUCUCCAAUUUGAAUUACAACUUUAAUUUGCAUUCUUGUUUAUUUCAAUUUGAUUUUUAUUAUUGUCAACAAUUCCCCCAUUUUACGUUUUACGUUUCAAAAGGAUUUAAAUAAUUACCGAUCUCUGUGGACACGACCCUGCUCAAUCACUAUACACAAUUUAUUUAGAGUAGGAAUUUAUUUUUGUUGGCUUCGACACCCAUCACGCAUCCACCCACGAUUACAGAAAUGGAGCAUCCACGUCCGAGAGGUGGGAGGAUAACGAGCGCAAAUGAGGGGAAGGUCUGGAGUCAGGAGGACCUAUAAAAAGGUAGCCAACGAAGGUAAAAGGGUUAGACUUUUCACUGUUAGAACUAAGAAAAGAGAGCUCUAAGAACUGAGAUUAAAAAGAAGCCAUAAGAUUCGUGGCAUAGAUUCCCAAAACCUUCAUUUCUGACUUGAGUGUCGGAGGGUUUGCGCCGGGGAACCAACCGGCGUACUCUGACCUGUCUGUGUACGCAGGAACUUCUGGAGAAGAAGCUUUACGAGGAGAGAUCCUGAUCGUGGUGACGUUGAUCGAGCAGAGCUCCUGGUCGUAUAACGAGGAGGACCAGAAUCUCGCAUCAACAUGUACAUUAGUGUUUUUUUUUUUUUUUGGGGGGGGGGUGGAAUUUUUUUAUUGGCACAGGAAGAAAGCUCUUCGGCACUACUCGGAAGAAGAAUAUGAGCAACACAUGGUCCAAUUCGCAUUGUAUGGAAGUAAAACCGAAGCAUUAGACCAAAAGCAAACCUUAUUCAUAUUUUUAGUUACUGAUAACAAUUUCUUUCCCCUCUUAUUAUCAUCUUAAUUAAGAAAUAUAGUAAUUCGUUAACUUUUUGGGAAAUUAAAAAGGAUGGCAAUAUACAAUAUUCUUGUGUUGAUGACCUUAAAAGCUAGUUCCCUUGAAACAGGAAAACUGGUAUCGUUUUUCAAAGCACAUAAAUGAUAUAUCCCAGCUUUCAAUGUGAUCGAAAGAUUUCAUAGCCACACUCAAAAUUAAUAAAUGAUCCCUAAGAAUUACGAAAAUGAUAUCAAUGAAAUUACAAACUCUUCAAGAGUUUAUAGAACAUUAAUUGAUCCAAAGCCAAUACAAACUGCUUACUAGUACAGCAUCAAGAGAGCCAUUUAUUUUUUCAGUAGGCAAAUUAAACAACUGCAGCAGUCACUAGCGAGCUAGUAUAGACCAAUUGUUCAUCUACCAACUAAUUGUGAAAUUGUUACAUCAUUGCUUGAACAUAUUUCUGAUCCAAUCGUGGCUUUAUUUUGUUCGUCUUCAUAAUCUUUGUUUGAGAAAUCGGAGUCCAUUCGAUGAGUCUAUCAGCAUUCUUUAACUAAUUAUUAGAUUAAAUGUAUAAAUUUAAAACUAGUAAAAGUUUAGAAUAUGAAAGAACCUUGAUUCAUUCAAGAAAUAAUUAAAAUUUUAAUCCUUUUCAAACUGAUUAAUAUUAACCUUAUCAUUAUAAGAAAACACGAUUUAAAAGAAAAAAAAAAUCUCACAAAGUUGGUGUGUGGAAUAGUCAAUACGUUGUGUCCUUGAUUUUUUACAAACUCUUAAGAGUCUAUAGAUGUAGUUAGUGAUAUUACAUUACAUUAAUUGAUCCAAAUCCAAUACAAACUGCUUACCAGUACAGCCUCAAGAGAGUCAUUUAUUAUUCAAUUGGCAAAUUAAACAACUACAGUAGUCACUAGCAGCUUGCCAAGAGCUAUAGCGUAGAUCAAUUGUUAUCUACCAACCAAUUGUGAAAUUGUUACAUCAUUACUUGAACAAAUUUCCAAUCCAAUCGUGGCUUUCCUUUGUUCAUCUUCGUAAGCUUGCUUUGAGAAAGUUUCAGGCUUCUUUGGAGUCAUUAUAUCAGCCGUGCUCUCAUUUUCGAGCAUCGAAGAAACUUCCAGCAUAGAAGGUCUAUCGUCUGGGUUCUCCUGAACACACAACAGAGCUAUUUGCAGACAUGUUAGCAAUUUCCACGAGGAAUGCGUAUCAUCUAGUGAUGUAUCCAUUAACCCCAUGCCUUUCCCAUCUUUCCACAGCUCAUAAGCCUGUAAAUAUCGAAUAUGUUAUUGAGUUACAUUCAAUUAAUUAGCACUAUAAAGUUUUGAUCCAGUGUGCAUUAUAAAGGGGGUUAUGAAGAAACUUACAUACUGUACAAGGCUUAAAUUUUCAUUCUGGCCAGAUUGAACGAACAAUCUUCUUCCACUUAUAAUUUGCAAAAGUAAAACCCCAAAACUGUAGACAUCAGAUUUGGUGGAGUAGAUGCCUCUCGUCACAUACUCAGGAGGGAUAUAGCCACUGUUGUACCAAGUACUUACAAAUAUCAGUUAAAUUGUUUGACCUAAAAGGUUAAGCUGAUUGGUAAAGGCUCAACAAUAGUAUUAAAGACAAGUCGAAAAAUAGACGUAUAUACACUUACUGUGUUCCAACAAUUCGACUGGUGUUUGCUUCAAGGUCGUCUUUCACAAAAAUUCUAGCUAAGCCAAAAUCUGAUAUUUUAGGCUUCAUAUCUUCAUCCAAUAAAACGUUACUAGCUUUCAAAUCUUGAUGAAUAAUUGUUAAUCUAGAAUAUUCUUGAAGAUAGAGAAGCCCUUGAGUUAUUCCUUAAAUGAUAUGAAUGCGUUUUUUCCAAUCCAAAAUAAACCUUCGGAUGGAAUCUACAUCAAAUAUAAGUAUAGUUGGACGGUCGGUAGCAUUAGCAUUUGGAGAUGAGAAAGCAAAUGGAGGCACAUAAAUUAAAAAUUAAGCAGUUAAGCUCAUACCAAAAAGGAAAUAGUCCGAGCUUCGUUUUGGCAUGUACUCAUAGAUCAGCAUUUGUUCUUCUCUGUCAAUGCAAAAACCUAAAACCCUAAUAAGAUUUACAUGUUGGAGUUUUGCAGUAAGCAUAACCUCAUUCUUGAACUCCUCAAAUCCUUGUUUGGAUGUCUUUGAGAGUUUCUUCACAGCUAUUACCUGUCCAUCAGGUAAUACACCCUGCAAACAACCCCAAAACAUUAAAAAGAAAAAAAAACGCAAUGUUCAUAUACAUGUGUGUGUGUGUAUUUCGCUAAUUAAUUAAUAAGAUGAGAGAUAGCCAAGCUAUCGAUAUAUAACCUUGUAAACAGGGCCAUAUCCACCCUCCCCGAGCUUAUUUUCAAUUGAAAAUCUAUCCGUGGCCACCUCAAUAUCAGCCAAGCUAUAUUCUCUAAGAUCAGGAUCAUUGCUGUUAAAAUCUCCAGCAUGUGCUUGACUGUUUGCUCCGUCCUUUGAUGACUUGGCUGAGUCAAUUACUAUCCCAAUUAAUAUCAACCAAGGAAAAAAAAAAAAAAAAGCUAAUUUAAGUAAAUUGCCCACUUCUUCAACUGCGCUAAAUAGAAUAGAAGUAAAAAUAAUCCUAAACCAGUGUAGAAGAAGUUACCUUUUAAUUUGGGGUUUUUCAUCCAGCAGUAGUAAUAUAGACAAAAACCUAGUAGAAGAAUACAAGCUGCAGUUGUAGGCAAAACAAUUACCCAUAAUGGUCGCUUAUUUUGACCAUUCUUGUCAUCCUCUUCAGCUGAAAAGUCAAAUCACUUUGCGUUGGUUAGCCAUUGAUGCUGAAAUAAAGAUCUUAAUUCAAGUCAUUAUCCAGAAAAGUGAUCAACGGAUUGCAGUGAGUGCGGAAUUCCAUUUGCUUACCUGCAGCUUGAGAAAGCAUCCAAUCAUGAUCAUAGGAAACUAGCCACACAUGGUAACCGCGUAGCUUCUUCUCCUUGGCAUAAGCAACCUUCACUCUAAUGGCCUCCACAUCAUCAAAACCAAACCAAAUCUUCCCAAUCGAGCAGUAGUUCACCACAUAAGUUGAAUUGUACAUAACUUGGACAUUAGGACCAUAGCUCUUGAUGCGAUUCUUGAUUUCCUUGUAAGUCACAAGACCAUUUUCACUCAAAGCUGCUCCCGUUGCUGCUGCACCAAUACCAUUGUCCUCAGGUUUCACAAGCUUCCAUGCAUAGCCAUAGAAAGGCAAACAUAAAACCAAUUUAUCAGCCGAUAACCCUUCCUCAAUCCAUUCCGUGAUUCCGUAUUCAGUACUAUAGUCACUAUUUGGAUCAUACAGAGCCGCAUGAGCACCAGUAAAAUUUGUCCACGUAGGGGCUGAGUAAUCAGUAGUGAAAACAUGGACCCAAUUCAAGUACUGUCUUAUAAAGUCGACUGGAUAAGUUGCUUCUGUUAAGAAUGGUGAAUAUGAAACCGUUGCCGUCAAAAUCAACUGUGAUUGGCUCGAGUUAUUUCUUGCUUCUAAAUCUACGGCAGCUCGCCACUCUUUAAAGAGAAUGGCAAUAUUGUAAUUAUCCCAGCUUGUGUUUGCCUUAGACCAAGACAGAUCUAAGCCUUGAAAGCCAUAAAGCCUUGCUAUGUUUAUUGAGGAGUCAAUGAAGGAUUUCCUGGAAGAAGGAUUGCUUGCCAUGGAAGAAUAAGUUGAAUAGCUUACAUCAUUUCCUCCUCCGAUGGAGAGAAGUGUAGUGAUUGAUGGGUUCUUUAUUUUGACUGUGUGCGUGAAGUUGGAGAAUUGUUUUUCAUCCGAAGGUGAUAAAGAGAGCUCGUAGGAAGUUGAGUUGACAUCAGCAAAACCACACAUAAGGUGAGUGAAGAGAGCAGAAUUUACAUCUGAAACAGGGAACCCAUCGCCUGAAUCCCAGUAACCAGCUCUGAUUAAAGUUUGUGCUCUUGCAGGAAGCGAUUCUGAAAAUAUAAAAAUGUGGAGGACAAGAAUGAUAAUUUUGGAUGCCAUUGUGGGAACCUGGCUGCUUGAGGCAUACCUAGUAUGUGAUUAUAUAUUUGUACACACACAAAAUGUAAUGGAGAAAUUAUCCUAUACCGAUUGAGAUUAGUUAUUGCACUAAUAAUGCAAACUUGAGUCAACUUUCAACUUAUGAGCUUAGUCCAUAAGUUUUUAUAAUACGAUAUCAAAAUCAAGUUAUGAAUGAGGGACCCUAUAAUACCUUCCAACCUAACUUAAUAAUUAAUCUUAGCCAAUGUGACAUACUUGUUCUAUCGCUUUAUCACGACCAAGUCGAUCUUUUAGCUUUGUCUUUUUUUCAUGAUAAUAAGUGAUAAGAUUGAAGUUCUUAAAUUAAGCUAUGACUUUUUACCUCCGCUUAGCUUGACUUCUGAAGUUGGAGACUCGUUCUUUUGUAUUGACUUUGUUGGUAUUUAAAUGAACUCGGAGUCCUCGACGAGUUUCUGAAGCGAAGUCAUUAUUCCUCUAUGACUCCAUCCAUGCAAUUGGAAGGCAAAAUCUUGUGAAAAUAUUUUCUAAGUUGAUUCAGUCCAUGAUCAACGUGCACAAAACGCAAAAUCUUGCGAAAAUCAAACCCGUCCUCACUCAUGAGCUCGAUUUCUAGCUUAAACUCCUCCUCACUCAUGACCUCACUUUAAUUACAGCUUGUCAUUGAAUUGAGUGUUGCCUUAAUUAAGCCAUCAACUUAAUAAAGUGAUGGUCAUUAAGAAAUACACUUAGUUACUUCCUGAUGGUAAGAUUCAAUAAUAUUGUAAUUUAAAAAAAAGAAGAAAAGAUCCAUAUACCUUUUCCUUGUGUAAUUUAAUUUUCAGUCCAGUCCACCCUCCCAUUUUAUCAUAAAAGUCUAUACAAACAUACGUUUUACUCAAUGUUUACUUAGAAACAAAUGGUGGGCGUACGAGUGCCGAUCUAGUACCACUCUCGUAUACUUGGUGGGAUUCGGCUUCACCAAAUUUGUAGCAUAUAUUUUACUUUAAUGAGAAAAUCAAAUAAUUAUUGAACAAAUAAUUUUUUUUUCAAUAUACUUUCUUAAAAUGUAUGGAGUUGGUAAAGUGCAAAUUCAUUUUUUAGCCCUUUGACUCCUCCAAAAUCCAAACUCAAAUUAAUGGUCAGUUAAAUAAUGUUACUUGAAAAUCAUUUCCUAUCUAGAAUUUGUUUAAUUCUAUUAAUUUACAAUCGUUUUUCAUUUUACUUAAUUAAUUAAAGUGAAUUUAUUAUGUAUACAUCUACAUACGUAAAAUCUUAAAAUUCAGUGUUGAAUUGAAUUGUACUAAAUUUUUUAUAAUUUUUUGUGAGACCUGCGUUUUUAACAGUUUAAUAUUAAUAUUGAUAGCACAUAAUAUACCGGAUUAAGAGAGAUUGAUUUCGACUGCUACAAGAUUUUUAGGAUUGCAUGCACAAGGGUUUAAAAACAAAGUAUACACUUAAUUACACUAAACGAGGGUGCAUUUUUAUGAUGAAAUAAAAACUAUGUACAGGUUGUAAAAGUGGCUCCAUAAUUAGUGUACAUUAACAAUCAUCUAGCUACCACUUCCGAAAAUGAUAAAUCACAAGCCGAACAUUUUUCCAAUUGUGUUGUAGAUAAUAGUUCAAUCCCAAUUUCAUCAACUUGUUUUGAGAAAGCAGGCUUCUUGGGAGUAUUUAUAUUUGUGGUUUCAUUCUUGAGCAUUGAGGAAACUUCCAGCAUUGAAGGUCUAUCGUUUGGAUUCUCCUGGACACACAACAAAGCUAUUUCCAGACAUCUCAUUAAUUUACAAGGGGAAUUUGUAUUGUCUAGGAAUGAAUCCACAAACUCCACGCCUUUGCCACCUUUCCACAACUGAUAUGCCUGAAAUUAUCAAGUACCAUCUCGUUACAUAAUUUAUACUUCUUAAUUAAGUGCGCAUAUGUGUACUCAGGGUUACUAUAGCCGAAGAAACUUACGUGCUCUAGAAUGCUUAAAUUUUCAUUGAUGCCACAUAACACUGAAAGCCUCUUUCCACUUAUGAUUUGUAGAAGUAAAACUCCGAAACUAAAAACGUCUGAUUUGGUAGAGUAUACACCUUGUCUGGCGUACUCAGGAGGAAUAUAGCCUCUGCAUUCAAAAUAACCAAGUAUAUAUGAGUAAGGGAUUUUGCAAUUUAAUAAAUUUGUAAAACCCAUUUUAAAUUGUGGUAAAAGUCCAUUCUGCAUUUUAUUAAAGUGCUGAAUUCCUUAUUCGAAACCCAAUAUAUGUAUAACAAACAGAAGCUUGAGUAAAGGAUAUCAUUUAGAUGUAAUAUACUUACAUUGUUCCCACAAUUUGUUCUGUAUUCGCUUCGAGACUCUCUUUUGCAAAAAUCCUAGCCAUACCAAAAUCUGAAAUUUUAGGUUUCAUACCUUCACCUAACAAAACAUUACUGGCUUUCAAGUCUCGAUGAAUAAUAGUCAGUCUUGAGUAUUCUUAGAGGUAUAAAAGCCCUUGAGUUAUCCCUUCAAUGAUAUGAACACGUUUUUUCCAAUCCAAAAGAAGUCUUUUGAUGGGAUCUACAACAAAUAUAUAGUUUUGGACAAUAAGUGAUAUACAAAUGAAUUAUAUACACAUUUGAUAUUAACUUGAUUUCAGAACAAACCAAAAAGGUAGCAAUCCAAGCUUUUGUUUGGCAUGUAUUCGUAGACCAGCAUCCGUUCCUCACUCUCAAUGCAAAAACCUAAAACUCUAAUAAGAUUUACAUGUUGGAGUUUUGCAGUAAGCAUAACCUCAUUCUUAAACUCCUCAAAUCCCUGUGCGGAUGAUUUCGAAAGUUUCUUCACUGCUAUCACCUCUCCACAGGGUGAUACACCCUGCAACCCAAAAAAAAAAACCACGUUCAUAUAAAGCUUUCACUAGUUAGAGAAGCUGAGAAAUGUUAGCCAAACAAUAUGCUACCCCCCAAAGUUGAGGGCACCAUUUUAAGUUCUUUAAGUCCCCAUGGACGCAAAAUGUAAAUCUCCUCUCACAGAAUAUGGAUAUGGGUAGAGGUAUCUUCCUAAAAUGUUAGUCGAAGUAGUUAUAUCCCUCUAGUGUGAGGUUAGAGGUCUCAUCUCUAAUAGGCAUAGAUUUUUAAAUUAUAUGUUUUGGGCCUCUGAAUUCUACGACGAGUGUACAAAUUCAAACUUCCGAUAGGAUCCAAAUUGAAACAUUGUGGAUUGUAACAAAUUAAAAUAUAGGUACACACACACACACACACACACAUGUUACCUUGUAAACAGGACCAUAUCCACCCUCCCCAAGCUUAUUUCUAAUUGAAAAUCCCUCGGUGGCCGCCUCAAUAUCAGCCAAACUAUAUACUCUGAGAUUAGGAACAUUUCUGUUAAAGUCUCCAGCUUCUGUUUCAUUAUUUGCUGUCGUGUUUGAUGCUUUAGCAGAAUCCUCUGUUCCUAACAUCAACCAAGAGUACAUAUUAGAUAAAUAAUUGUAUGUCAGCCUCAGAUUUAUGUGUAUAUAUAUGAAUGAAAUUCAUGCUUAAUUAUAAUUGAUAGCUGAAACUUGUUACCUUCUAUUAAAUUGAGCCUUUUCAUCUGGUUGUAUUUAUAUGCACAACAGCCUAGAAGGAGAGUCAAAGCUGCCGCUGCAGUAGAAAUGAGUGCAAUGGACAGAUGGCGGUUAUUACUAUGUUCAUCUUUGUCAGCUGAAGCAGAAGUAAUCCUUUCUUUUUGUGCUGGAAAUAUGUAUAGUUCACCAAUUAAUAAUUACUAGCUAGAGAUGCCAUAACAAUCAUUAUUAAUCAGAGAGAACAAUUAUUGCAUAGAUAAAUACCUGCAGCCUGAGAAAGCACCCAAUUAUGAUCAUCAUAAUCAACUCGCCACACAAAGUAACCACGUAACUUCUUCUCCUUAGCAUAUGCAACCUUCAUUCUAACGGCCUCGACAUCAUCAAAACCAAACCAAAUCUUCUCAAUCGAGCAGUAAUUGACCUCAUAAGUUGAAUUGUACAUAACUUGGACAUCAGGGCCAUAGGUCUUGAUGUGAUUCUUGAUUUCCUUAUAAGUCACAAGGCCGCUAUCAUGCAAAGCUGGUCCUGCUGCUGCUGCAACAAUACCAUUGUCUUCAGGUUUCACAAGCGUCCAUGCAUAGCCAUAGAAAGGCAAACACAUAACCAACUUAUCUGCCGAUAAUCCUCUGUCAAUCCAUGCCUUUAAAACCUGAUCGGUACUUCUAACAAAGCCGCCGCUACUUGAGCCAUAGAGAGCCGCAGGUGGCGCCGUGAAGUUUGUUGACACAGGCUCGUAGUAGCUAGCAGUAACCGCAUGAACCCAAUUCAAGUUUCGUUCUAUCGAAUUCAAAAGAUAUGAAUUCGCUGGUGGUGAAUAAUGAAAUCUUGCGGUCAAGAUCAGCUGGGAUUGCUGGCGACUAGAGUUUUUUGCCUCUAAUUUUGUAGCAGCAAUUCGCCACUCGUCAAAAAGUAAACCAAUAUUGAACAAAUCGGUGCUUGUGUUUGGAGCUGUCCAAGCAAAGUCUAGGCCCUGAAAGCCAUAAAGCCUAGCUAUUCUUAUUGAAGAGUCGAUGAAAGAUUUUCUGUGAGAAGAAUUGCUCACCAUUGAAGAAUAAAUAGAAUAGUUUGUAUCCAUUCCUUGUCCAAUGGAGAGAAGUAUAGUGAUUGAUGGGUUCUCUUUUUUCACAGUGUCUACGAAUUUGGCGAUUUGAUUUUCAUCGGAUGGUAAUGAUAAAGAUAGCUGGUAAGUGGUGGAAUUGAUAUCAGCGUAAGAGCAAAUAAGGUGAGUGAAGAGAUCAUAAUUUAUGCCCGAAAUGGUGGACACUUCGCUUGAAUCCAAGUAACCGACCCUGAUCCACGGUUUUGCUUUCGCGGGAUAAAAUUCUGAAUAGAAUAACAUGUGGAAGAUGAUGCUGAUAAUUAUGGAUGCCAUUUGAGACUUUGUUAGGAAUGGAAAUGGAUCCACACAAGAGAAAUUAAAUAAACACUAGUUUCACAGAUCAUUUAAGUACUUAUGUAAACUAUUAACUUAUAGGUUCAUUUCGUUCCAAAAAAAUCUUAUGUGCUUCUGAUAGGGAAACAUACAUUGCAUGUUAUGAUGAUGAUAGGCGAUGCGACCAUUGCCUGAGAACUAAGAUUUUCUUCCAUCGCUUGGGUGACCUUUCACGAAGAAAAAUGAUGUUUUGAUUUACAUUUGGUUAAACUGAUGACAAAUUUCGGGCCAUAAAUAUCACUAUUGUUUUAUUAAAUAAUAAAAAAAUUAAUUUUACAUGUACGUUGAAAGUUAAUAUUGCAAUCACCAACAAGUGCGUAGAUCAACUGACAAGGGGUUGUUCUAGCUUAACCAAGGUCCUUGGUUCGAGACUUGAGAAUGCAGCUACGUUAAAUACUUGUUGGGAGAGUUUUGUCAUCCUAAUGGCCUUACACGGCUCGAAUCUGAAUUAGAGUUUUGUCACCCUAAUGGUCCUACACGGCUCGAAUCUGAAUUAGUCGAGACCCACUGAUACCAAAUGGCUUCAUAUACCAAAGAAAAAGUUAAUAUUGCAGUCUUUUGAGACUGUGUUGACGUUUAUUCGGUUCGUUUAUUAUAUAUUCCCGUUUUUCUCCCUGUCUGUUUGCUACAGUGCUCUUACAAGGAUAGCAUCUUUAAUGCACCUCAGAAGUAGUUAAGAAAGUCUUGAUAAAAAACCAGACAUUUUCUAUCUACUCAAAACGUAGUUAUUGGACUAAUUAAGAUUCUAAUCCCUUUAAUAAAUAUUCAAAAAGGGUUACUGUCACUACUCAGUCCUUGUUGUUUUAUAAAAAAAAAAAAAAAAGAUAUUUAAAGAGGCAUCACAUAAAUCCUUCCUAAUUACAUUUUGUUUCAUUCAAGUUGUUGACUUAAUUUGACUGCCUGGAAAAAUUAGUAAAGAGGUAAAAAUAAAAAAAAAGGUAAAUUCUAGUUAUUAGACUAAAUAUAUAGUAUAAAUUUGCAGCAACUAGCAAAAAGUUUAGAAUAUGAAAAAUCCUAUUUCAUUUAAAAAACAAUGAAAAUUCUAAUCAUUUUAAAAAAAAAAAACUCUGAAAGUUUGAAAAACUAAGAUUUUAAGAUCCUUUUACAAUAACCAUAAUUAACACAAAUUUCCGAAUUAUUAUUACAUAAUAAAAUUUUACUAAUAGAAAUAAGAAAACAAAACAAAUAGCACUCAAAUCGGAUAUAUAAAAAAAAAUCUUGAAAUAAAUAGAAAAAAUAAGAAAAUAACUAAAACUUGCAAAACGACCAUGAAAGAAAUGAAAUUUCCGGCCGAACCAAGGGGCCAAUGUGCAUAGUAUUAUUGGACUAGAUUUAUCAGACCACAAGCUUCAAAACAAUAUAUUAUAUUUCCUAAAUGGACACAUGUAGGUUAAGUUACUCAAUUGUAUUAGGAGCUGUCCAAGCAAAAUCUAGGCCCUCAAAGCCAUAAAGCCUAGCUAUUCUUAUUGAAGAGUCGAUGAAAGAUUUUCUGUGAGAAGAAUUUCUCACCAUUGAAGAAUAUAUAGAACAGUUUGUAUAUCUUCCUUGUCCAAUUGAGAGAAGUGUAGUGAUUGAUGGGUUCUUUUGUUUCACAGCGUCUGUAAAUUUGGGGAAUAUUUGAUUUCCAUCAAAUGGUGAUGAUAAAGAUAGCUGGUAAGUGGUGGAAUUGAUAUCAGCGUAAGAGCAAAUAAGGUGAGUGAAGAGAUCAUAAUUUAUGCGCGAAAUGGCGGACACUUCGCUUGAAUCCAAGUAACCGACCCUGAUCCACGGUUUUGCUUUCGCGGGAUGAAAUUCUGAAUAGAACAACAUGUGGAAGAUGAUGCUGAUAAUUAUGGAUGCCAUUUGAGAGGCUUAAGCUUCUUAAUUACCACUUCGAUGGGAAUGGAAAUGAAUGCACACUGACACCAGACACAAUAGAUGAGAAAGUACAACGUCACACACUCAAGAAAUCACAAGCUCACCACCACAGCAAACAACAAAAGGAUACAGAAAAAUAUUCACCACCUAAAGUUGUUAAGCUACGGAUACAGAGCUUAAAACACUCACCACUCAAUGGAAUCCACCAAAGAGAUACAGAGUUUGAUAAUAGCUCAAAGUUCAUUCAAUUUCUAAAAUUAAUCUUCGUCCUUUUGUUACAACUACAUAAGCUUAAAUAAUUUUCUUGGAACAAUCCUCCAAGCAUAGAUUUACUACAAAGAAACCCUUCAAAUAACUUGACUUUAAAGACCAACAUUAAAGCUAGACAUUAAUAAAACAUUAGUAUGCUUAAAACACAACAAAGAACAUUAAAAAAAAUCUAAGUCCCGAAAUAUUCUUCUUGACUCAAAACUGAACAGUCUGCACUUAACUGAUCAUAACUUACUGUAGAAAACUCCAAAUUUAGAUUAGUAAAAUUCAUUGGAAAGCUAACAGAAAUAUCUUUCCAAUGAUGUAUGGCUCGAAAAUUAAUUCGAUCUCAUGCAGUACAGUUUAAUUCCAAAAGAUGCCCCUUCUGCACAGAAAUUCUGCUCACUUGAUUAAUGUAAGAACUUGAGCUGCACUUGGUAUAACUUGAUUACCAAAUAUUUCAAACACUCCUGUGUUACACACUAAGAGAAAUUAAAUAAACACAAGGUUCACAGUUCAUUGAGCUCUCAUGUUAACGUAUAGGUUCAUUUCGUUGCAAAAAAAAAAAAUCUUACGUGCUCCUGAUAGUGACACAUACACUGCAUGUUAAGAUGAUGAUGGGCGAUGCGACCAUUGCCUAAGAACUAAGAUUUUCUUCUACCGCCUGGGUGACUUUCCAUGAAGAAACAUGAUGUUUUGAUUGACAUUUGGUUAAACUGAUGACAUAUUUUGGGCUACAAAUAUUAGUAUUGUUUUAUUAAAUAAAAAUAAUAAUAAUUUUACGUGCAUGUUGAAGGUAAUAUUGCAGUCUUUUGAGCCUGUGUUGAAUUUCAUUCGUGUGCGUUCAUUUAUUAUCCAUCCCCUUUUUUCUCUGAGUCUGCUAGCCGUAGUCAUCUUAAAACGAUAACAUGUUUAAUGCAUGUAAAUGCACCUCAGAAGUAGUCAAGAAAGACUUGAUCAAACCAGAAAAUUUUCCUCUUAACACAGACGUAGUUAUCGGACUAAUUAAGAUUCUAAUCCAUUUAAGAAAUAUUCAAAAAGGGUUAUUGUCACUACUUUAGUCCUUGUUGUUUUAUUAAAGAAAGAAAAAAAAAAGAAUAUAUUUAAAGAAGCAUCACAUAAAUCCUUCCUAAUUACAUUUUGUUUCAUUCAAGUUCUUGACUUAAUUUGACUGCUUGGAAAAAUUAGUAAAAAGGUAAAAAUAAAAAAAAUGUAGAUUGAUAUUAAGGAAUUCAGCAAGCAAGCUACAAGAAUAUCCAAAAGCGUGUAAUUUAUGUUUAAGGAAAUAAGUGGAGAUAGAGAUGAAAUUGUAAAUUCAUCCCAAUCUUAAGUGGUUUAAUUCAAGAUGUAUGUUAGCUACAAGCACAGUAAGCAUGGUGAUGUCUCUCUUUAACGCAGGGGACACAACAAAAACACUGUAUUUCUACCCUUUUAAAAAAUUCCAAUAAUAUGUACACGUUAUAUAUAAGAUAUAAAAAUCAUUACUUUUAGUAUAAGAUAUAAAAAAAAAAUCAAUUAAUAACCAUUAGAGAAUAAAAAUUUAUGUAAUUGAUGCAGAUAAAUGGAAUCAAGUAGUAACAUUUCCUUCUCAUUGAAGAGAAAAGAUUUAAAAAAAAAAAGGGGAACGCAAACAUGACAAUUUUUUUUAUCCGCACACGCCAUGAUAAUCGAUAAUCCGAUAUACCAACCGCGUCUAAUUGUCUGAAUUCUCCAGCUUACCAAGCUUGCUCAAUCGCACCGACAGACACUGACAAUGGGAGAUUAAUCACCACUCGCAGUAUUCGACGCGUGAAGGACACAUUCACCAAUAAUUUAUAGCGGACAGUAGCAUUCCCGAUGCUGCACGGAGAAAAAUAGUUGGAUUUGCGUAAGUUAAAUUGACUUGACUCGAGAGAGUGAAGAAUGGUGGUGGUUGCUGUUAAGCAGUCAGUACUUCUGGCGACUGCUUGGCUUACACGCAGUUCUUGGGGGUGUCAUUUGACUGUGAAAAAGAAUUUUGGCUUUAUUGAUAUCAUGUUGGAUUUGGAAUUUUGGAUGGCUUCGUUUGGACCAUAAGACGCUAUCUCAUCCAUAACACGUUAGCAGUCCUUCUCACGGGAGAAAAACUGGGGUGGGAUUGAGCAAGAUUAUAUGAGUCCUCGAAGUGUCACUUACAAAUUUUUAAUUAUAAAUGACUGCCGAAUAAUUAAUCAAAAUUUUAUUAUUUAUGGUUAUAAUUAGAAUGAUAAGAAAUCAAUUCGAUGUUAUUCUUUGUGGCUCUGCUUAGAAUACUAAAAAAUCAAGUCGACUUACUUAUCUUUAUGUUGAUCAUUACAGGCCUUUUGAAUUUUUUAUCUACUUUAGUUGUAAGUAAUAUAACUUCACUUUUUUUUCUUUACUUUGGUUUGGUUUUCUUUAUAACUCAUAAAAAUUUUCUCGUUAAGAUUGUAUGAACCAAUUGAAACUUCAGAUUUGUAUGAACCAAUUGAAACUUCAGAUUCAUACUAGAAUUAUGAUGAUUCAAUAAAACCUUCAAAUUAAAUUCACAUAUUCCAUGAGGGAGAACCCUUGGAUUACAUUUGUUCAAGUUUAUGCUUUGAGUAAAAUAAAAGUAGAAAUAGGAAUUUGAAAGAAGAAAUUUAGUUAUAAAAAAUUAUCAAAUAAUUAAUUGUUUGGCAUUUAUUUUAUGGGUCCCAACCCAUGUGAUCCGCCAAAUGAGACGUCUUAUGUGAUUGGUUAUGCCAUGGUGCGCUAGCCACAUUUAAGUUUCUCUCUUCUUAUGGAUAUAACUGUAUAUGGGUGGCGUUAUAUAGUGCCCCACAUGGGCUCAUUAAAAUUAUUUUAUGUGCAUUUUAAACAUACCCUCUUUAUUGAUUUGAAACACCAAAAAUACCUCUCUUAAAUUUUAAAAAUAUAAAAAAAAAUUACGUGUUAAAACAAUGCUUGAUGUCUCUAGCCUAACAGUUAGCACACCUAUUGUAUACACUUUUACUUUUUUCUUCUCUAAUUUUUUACUCCUCUUUUCUCUAAUUCUUCACACUUCACUACUCUUUUAUCUCUAAAAAAAUUAAGCAAUCUCUAGAAGCUUAUUACUAAUUUUUUGAUCAAAUUACUUAUAUAAGUACUCUUGAUUGAUUAACACUUCUUUAAUUUUUUUUGGGGAUUUCUCUUAGAUGAAAGAAUUAAGGUUAUGUUCUAAAAAAAAUUUAACUCCCAUAUUAUGGUUUUGAUAAUGCGAUUAUCCUUAAAUUUUUCAACAUAUUAAAAUACUUUGAAACAACUGUAAAUGUGUUGAAUGAAAUAUUCUAAUAAAUUUAUAUUUUGGUACUUAUUAAUUAUUUAACUUUUUUCUUAAAAUUACAUUACUAUUUCAGCUUAGCCCUUGUGACAUUAAAUUCCUGAUAGCGCCACUAAAUGUAAGUUUUAAACUCAUGUUCGAUUUCUCCCAUGUUCAAACUCUACCUUUAAUUUAUAUUUCAAUUUUGUGGCCUACUUUUGAGUUUCUAAUUUCACAUAGAAGGCAUGUUAAACUUACCUUAGAUGCAAUAUUAAGAAAUCAAAUACACCAUGUGCAUUAGUGGGGGCGAAAAAAAAAAGAAAAGAAAAAGUCUUUUAUUGGUAAAAGAUGAAAGCUCUUCGGCACUGAUCAGAAGAAAAAUCAUUCUCCAUACAAUGAGCAAAACAAAGUCCAAUUCGCAUUGCAUAGAAGUAAGACCGAAGCAUUGGACUAAAAGCAUACACUAGUCUUAUUUUUCGUUACUGAUAACAUUUUUUUUCCCCUUAUAUUAUCACCUUAAUUAAGAAAAAUAAUAAUUUGUUUAACUAUUUGCGAAAAAGGAUGGCAAUAUACAAUAUUAUUGUGUUGAUGACCUUGAAAGCCAAUUCUUUUGAAACAGAAAAACUGUUUUUGUGUUUUGAUUAUGUUAAGCAAAUGAAUGGUCUUUAAGAGUUAUGAAAAUGUUAUCAAUAAAAUUACAAACUCUUAAGAGUUUAUAGAUGUAGUUAGUGAUAUUACAUUACAUUAAUUAAUACAAUACAAACUGUUUACUAAUAGAGCCUCAAGAGAGUAAUUCAUUAUUUAGUUGGCAAAUUAAACAACUGCAGCAGUCACUAGCAGCCUUCCAUGAGCUAGCAUAGAUCAAUUGUUCAUUUACCAACCAAUUGUGAAAUUGUUACAUCAUUACUUGAACAUAUUUCCAAUCCAAUCAUGGCUUUGUUUUGUUCAUCUUCAUAAGCUUUGUUUGAGAAACUUGCAGGCUUCUUUGGAGUCAUUAUAUCAGCUGUAUUCUCAUUUUCGAGCAUCGAAGAAAUUUCCAGUAUAGAAGACCUCUUGUUUGGGUUCUCCUGAACACAUAGCAAAGCUACUUGGAGACAUGUCAAUAAUUUCCACGAGGAAUUCGUAUCAUCUAGUGAUGGAUCCAUUAACUCCACGCCUUUCCCAUCCUUCCACAACUCGUAUGCCUGAAAACAUCAAAUAAGUUAUCGAGUUACAUUCCAUUGAUUAGCACUAUAAUGUUUUGAUUCAGUGUGUAUUAGAAAGGGGGUUAUGAAGAAACUUACAUACUCUACAAGGCUUAGAUUUUCAUUUUGACCAUAUCGAAUGAAAAGUCUUCUUCCACUUAUAAUUUGUAGAACCAAAACUCCAAAACUGUAGACAUCAGAUUUAGUGGAGUAGACUCCUCUUCCAAUAUAUUCAGGAGGAAUAUAGCCUCUAUAGUAUCGAGUAAUUACAAAUGUUACUAAAACUAUUUGACGUAAAAGAUUAAGUUGAUUGGUAAAGGUUCAACAAUAAUAUUAAAGACAAGUCAGAAAAAAAAUAGAAAAAUAUAUACUUACUGGGUUCCAACAAUUCGAUUUGUGUUUGCUUCAAGAUCAUCUUUCACGAAAAUUCUAGCCAAGGCAAAAUCUGAUAUUUUAGGUUUCAAAUCUUCAUCCAACAAAAUAUUACUAACUUUUAAGUCUUGAUGAAUAAUUGUUAAUCUAGAAUAUUCUUGGAGAUAGAGAAGCCCCUGAAUAAUUCCUUGAAUGAUAUGAAUACGUUUUUUUCCAAUCCAAAAUAAACCUUCUGAUGGGAUCUGCAUCAAAUGUAAAUUUAGUUGGACGGUCAGUACCAUUAGCAUUUGGAGACGAGAAAUGCAAAUUGAGGCACAAAAAUUAGAAAUUAAGCAGUUAAGCACAUACAAAAAAGGAAAUAGUCUAAGCUUCGUUUUGGUAUAUACUCAUAGAUGAGCAUAUAUUCUUGUGUGUCAAUGCAAAAACCCAAAACUCUGAUCAAAUUUACGUGUUGAAGCUUUGCAGUAAGCAUAACCUCAUUCUUGAACUCCUCAAAUCCUUAUGUGGAUGUCUUCGAUAGUUUCUUCACUGCUAUUAUUUGUCCAUCAGAUAAUACACCCUGCAAGCACCCCCCAAAAUAUAUGUUUUUUUAAAAAUCAGUGUGUUCACACAUGUUGAAAAGUCAUGCACGUGACAUUGAAAUUCAAAAAUGAAUGCAAAAUUUCAAAUGGCUACCAAACAUUUGAAGAAAAAAUGGAAAGUUGGCAAAUUUGUCAAAUUUGCCAAAUGGACACCAUUGACUAUUGGCUUAGGUUAUGUGGAAUAGUAAAAGGGUUGGUGCAAUAGUGCCAUUAUUUUCCCUAUAAAUAGAUGGCACUUCUUCCAUUCUAAAUCAUCCCAAAAUUGUUAAGCUUAUAAGUUUCUAAGCUUUUGAGAGAAGUGAGAGAAGUGUGUCUGAGGAAUUUAUCUUUCCUGCAGAGUGUGAGAGUACUGGGUAUAUUUGGGUUUCUGGGAAGUGAGAUUCGUUACUCAAAUAUUGUAUUCUAUUAAUUGUUAAAUAAACAAUUAUUCUUUCUUGCCUUCGUGGAUGUAGGUUUAAUUACCAAACCACGUAAAUUCUUGUGUCCUUUAUUUUUCAGUAAUUAUUUGGUGCGCUUGAUUCCGCAUUCCGCGCACAACAAGUGGUAUCAGAGCCGACGGUUCGUACUUGGGGGGAUACGGUACUAUUCACGUAUACGGUACUGUUCACGUAUACGGUAAUGUUCAUGUAUACGGUACUAUUCACGAAUACGUUGGAGACGGCCAUUUGUACUUGGGAGACAGUCUAUUGUAAGUAGUGUGUAUUUUUGCAUGUCUAGGAAAGUUCUGUCAAAAAAGGCGAUAAGAGUCUAAGGAUUCUGGUUUUUAAUUGGGACCGAAUUCCCGUCCAGUUUUCUGGGAACUUUCCUGGUGCAUUUAUUCACGCGAAAUUAACAUCAUAGAGGCUGUUUUUCAAGUGGAAAUAGUUCGUUGAGAAAAAUCGUAGAAGGUGAAACUUCCAGAAUUGGGGAGAGAUCUACCGAGACUAUUUCAGGAGACAUUUCAGGUGGGAGGCGAGAUUUGUCAAAUCGCUAUUCAGCACCUGUUAUAGGAGGCCAGAAGAUCGAUGUUGAAAAGUUUGAUGGGAAAAUCAACUUCGGCAUGUGGAGGCGCGAAGUUAUGGAUGCCCUUAUUCAAAUCGAUCUCGAUGUUGUCCUGAAAAAUAAAAGACACUUGUAUGAUGAAGAAAUUUGGGAUCGUAUGAACGAGAAAGCCUGUGGUCAGAUCAGAUCUUGUUUGACCAAGGAGGUGAAAUACUUGGUGAAAGAUGAGGAGUGUGCAGUGACUUUGUGGCGUACAUUGGAAGAGAAGUACCUGGUGAAAAGUCCUGAAAAUCGUCUUCAUGCAAUGAGCCAAGUAUAUGGCUUUCGAAUGAAGUCUGGGGUGUCAAUGCACGAUCAUGUUUCAAGAUUUAAAAAGUUACUUGCUGAUUUGAAGAAUCUUGAUGAAGAUAUUAAAGAUGAAGUCAAUGCUAUGAUUCUGUUACACUCACUACCAGAGGAAUAUAGCCAUUUUGUGACUACUUUGAUAUAUGGGAAGAGUGUGAUCGUCUUUAAAGAUGUUUGCACAGCAUUGACUAGUUUGGAGAUUCGGAAUAAUGAUAAAAAUUCUGAACGAGCAUCGUCUGAAGCUUUGGUGAGCAGAGAUUGGGCGAUGGAGAAAAAGAUAAAUGGUGGUGGAAAGAAUUCUCGAUCCAAAUCGAGAAGCAGAAAUAUAGCUCGAGAUGAGUGUGCCUUUUGUCAUGAAAAGGGCCAUUGGAGGAAAGAUUGUCCAAAGGCUCAAAAGAGAGAUGGGAAAAAACCAGCAUCAGCAAACAUGGCACGGAAAGAUGAGGACUCUGAUUAUUCACUAAGUAUCACUCCUGCAGCAUAUGUGGCUAGUUCGAGUGAGUGGAUACUUGAUACUGGAGCAACCUAUCAUUUGUGUCAUAUUAAGGAAUGGUUUACGGAUUUUCGUAAUCUGGAAUCCGGUGCAGUUAUGAUGGGGAAUAAUCAACCUUGUCGCACAAUGGGGAUAGGAACAAUUCGGCUCAAAAUGUUUGAUGGAAUGGUCAGAGAACUCAAAGAGGUUAGAUUUGUUCCAGAGAUAAAGAAAAAUCUAAUUUCUGUGGGUGCUUUGGAAGCUAAAGGUUACAAAGUUACCAUUGAAGAUGGCACAAUGAAGUUUACACAUGGGGCUAUGGUGAUUCUGCAAGGGGUUCGGCGUCACAAUCUGUACUAUUUGAAAGGAGGUACAACUGAUGAAGCAAAUGUUGUUGAGGCGCACAGUGACACCACCAAGCUAUGGCAUGUACGACUGGGACAUGCAGGAGAGAAGUCUUUGCAAACUCUGAUGAGGCAUGGACUCUUAAAAGGUAUCAAAACCUGUAAAUUAAAUUUCUGUGAGCAUUGUGUAGUAGGCAAAAAAACAAGGGUCAAGUUUGGUACAGCUAAUCACGAUACUCGUGAGAUCCUUGAAUAUGUUCAUAGUGAUGUAUGGGGACCAACCAAGACUGCAUCAAUUGGUGGAAGCCAUUAUUUUGUUAUAUUUGUUGAUGAUUUCUCUAGACGUGUAUGGGUGUACACCAUGCGAGCAAAGGAUGAGGUUCUAGAGAUUUUCGUGAAGUGGAAGAAAUUGGUGGAGACUCAAACUGGCAGAAAGAUCAAAGUAUUACGAUCUGAUAAUGGGGGUGAAUAUACUUCUGAUCCAUUCUUGCAAGUAUGCCAGAACGAGGGUAUUAAAAGACAUUUCACAGUGAGACAUACUCCGCAACAGAACGGUGUGGCUGAGCGUAUGAAUCGUACUUUACUGGAGAAGGUACGAUGUAUGUUAUCUAAUGCUGGUUUAGAUAAAAAGUUUUGGCCUGAAACUGUGAGCUACGCAAGUCACUUGGUAAAUCGGUUGCCUUCUGCUGCAAUUGGAGGUAAAACUCCUAUGGAAAUGUGGUUUGGAAAGCAUGCACAAGACUAUGAUUCCCUUCGUGUAUUCGGGUGUCCAGCUUAUUAUCAUGUCAAAGAUGGUAAACUGGAUCCUCGUGCUAGAAAAUCUAUCUUUGUGGGAUUCAAAGGUAGAGUAAAGUGCUUCAAGCUUUGGGAUCUCGAAGACAAAAAGUUUGUGUGUAGCAGAGAUGUCACAUUUGAUGAAGCUUCAAUGAUAAAAGCUUCAAGUUCUCAGCAGGUGGAGAACAAGACCACAUAUGUAUUGCAGCGGGUGGAGUUUGAUGCAACUCCAUAUGUACCAGUUAGUUCUACAUCAAAGAAUGGUUCAACUAUGGAGGUGACACCUAAAGUUGAAGAAGAGGUUGUUUCUUCUGAUGUCCCACAAAAUGAAGAAACAAUUGAUGAUGUAGAUGAUGAUGAUUUUAUAGCAACAAGGAGGCCAAGAAGAGAGAUAAAGAAACACGGAUGGCUUACUAAAGAUAUGGUGGUAGCCUAUGCACUUUCAGUUAUUGAUGAUGACAUCCCCAAUACUUUCGGUGAAGCAUUACGCAGUAAUGAAAGUGAUCAGUGGAAGCUAGCCAUGGAGGAAGAGAUGAAAUCUCUCCAUCAAAACCAGACUUGGGAACUUGUAAAGUUACCAAAGGGGAAAAGGGCUAUUGGCAAUAAAUGGGUCUACACCAAAAAGCAAGGAUCUCCGAAUCAAACAACUCCUCGAUACAAGGCAAGGCUCGUGGCAAAAGGUUUUGCUCAAAAGGAAGGUAUUGACUACAAUGAAGUUUUGUCUCCAGUUGUAAAACAUACUUCCAUUCGUAUCCUACUUGCCUUAGUUGCAGAAUAUGAAUUAGAGUUGGCUCAGUUGGAUGUUAAGACGGCGUUCUUACAUGGAGAUUUGGAGGAGGAAAUCUACAUGAUUCAGCCUUGUGGUUUUAGAGUUGCUGGAAAGGAGAAUCAUGUGUGUAGGUUGAUUAAAUCUUUGUACGGACUGAAGCAAUCGCCAAGGCAGUGGUAUAAAAGAUUUGAUCAAUUUAUACAAGGGCAGAAAUUCACCAGAAGUGAACACGAUCAUUGUGUUUACUUUAGAAGACUACCAGAUAGAGCUUUCAUCUAUUUGCUACUCUAUGUCGACGAUAUGCUUAUAGCUUCGAAGAAUAGAGAUGAGAUCGAAAGAUUAAAGAAGCAGCUGGCUUCUGAGUUCGAGAUGAAAGACUUGGGUGAUGCACAGAGAAUACUUGGGAUGGAGAUUUGUAGAGACAAGAAGAAUGGGAGCGUAUGGUUGACUCAAAAGUCUUAUUUGAAGAAAGUGCUAGAAAGAUUCGGUAUGGAUGACAAAACUAAACCGGUAUGUACACCUCUAGCUCCUCAUUUCAAAUUAGGCUCUUCUUCAUGUCCUAAAUCUCAAGAGGAGCGCGAUUACAUGGCUCGUGUUCCAUAUGCUAGUGCUGUGGGUAGUCUUAUGUAUGCUAUGGUAUGUACAAGGCCCGAUAUAUCUCAAGCAGUAAGCAUGGUUAGUAGAUACAUGCACGAUCCGGGUAAAAGUCACUGGCUUGCAGUAAAGUGGAUUCUUCGAUAUCUGUAUGGGACAGUUGAUGUUGGGUUAUUGUUCAAGAAGGAUUGUGGUCAACAAUGUGUUGGCUAUUGUGAUUCUGAUUUCGCUGGAGACCUUGACAAGCGAAGAUCAACAACGGGCUACGUAUUCACAUUGGGUGGAGGUCCAGUUAGCUGGAGGUCAAUUUUGCAAUCGACAAUUGCUCUGUCCACUACGGAAGCAGAGUACAUGGCAACAACUGAAGCUGUAAAGGAAGCUAUCUGGUUGAAAGGCUUGUUAGGUGAUUUGGGAGUAAUCCAGGAGAACAUUACGGUCUUCUGUGAUAAUCAAAGUGCGAUAUUCCUUGCGAAGAAUCAAACAUAUCACGCUCGGACAAAGCACAUAGAUGUGAAAUAUCAUUAUGUGAGAGAGAUUAUCGAGAGCGAUGUUGUGUUGUUGAGAAAGAUCGAUACCAAAGAUAAUCCAUCAGAUAUGUUGACGAAGGUAGUUUCUGGAGUUAAGUAUCAACAUUUCUUGAAAUUAAUUCAAAUCCUUCGAUUGUGUUAAAGAUAUGUCCUUCGGGAAUUUUGAACUACGGUUGGCUUGAUCCCAAAUUUUGGGUACGUAGGCAGUCGAAACGACACAGCCAUUCUGGAUCCUUAUUGAAGGAUCACUUUGGGGAUGAGGGUUCGUUGGUAGUCGGCUCAGAUUUGGACAAAUUUUCGCCGAGGUGGAGAAUUGUUGAAAAGUCAUGCACGUGACAUUGAAAUUCAAAAAUGAAUGCAAAAUUUCAAAUGGCUACCAAACAUUUGAAGAAAAAAUGGAAAGUUGGCAAAUUUGUCAAAUUUGCCAAAUGGACACCAUUGACUAUUGGCUUAGGUUAUGUGGAAUAGUAAAAGGGUUGGUGCAAUAGUGCCAUUAUUUUCCCUAUAAAUAGAUGGCACUUCUUCCAUUCUAAAUCAUCCCAAAAUUGUUAAGCUUAUAAGUUUCUAAGCUUUUGAGAGAAGUGAGAGAAGUGUCUGAGGAAUUUAUCUUUCCUGCAGAGUGUGAGAGUACUGGGUAUAUUUGGGUUUCUGGGAAGUGAGAUUCGUUACUCAAAUAUUGUAUUCUAUUAAUUGUUAAAUAAACAAUUAUUCUUUCUUGCCUUCGUGGAUGUAGGUUUAAUUACCGAACCACGUAAAUUCUUGUGUCCUUUAUUUUUCAGUAAUUAUUUGGUGCGCUUGAUUCCGCAUUCCGCGCACAACAACACACACACACGUAGCUUGCACUAAUUAAUUAAUAAGCUGAGAGAUAACCAAGCUACCGAUACAUAACCUUGUAAACAGGACCAUAUCCACCCUCCCCGAGCUUAUUUUCAAUUAAAAAUCUAUCCGUGGCCACCUCAAUAUCAGCCAAGCUAUAUUCUCUCAGAUCAGGAUCAUUGCUGUUAAAAUCUCCAGCAUCCGCUUGUCUAUUUUCGCUGUCCUUUGAUGCUUUGGCUGAGUCAAUUACGGUCCAAUUAAUAUCAACCAAGAGAAAGAAAGCUAAUUUAAGUGAAUCGCCCACUUCUUCAUCUGUGUUAAAUGGAAUAGAAGUAAAAAUAUUCCUAAUCCCGUGUAGAAGAAGUUACCUUUUAAUUUGAGGUUUUUCAUCCAGCAGUAGUAAUACAGCAAAAAGCCUAUUAGAAGAAUACAAGCUGCAGUUAUAGGCAAAACAAUUGCCCAUAAUAGCCGCUUAUUUUGUCGAUUCCUUUCAUCCUCUUCAGCUGAAAAGUCAAAUCACUUUGUGUUAUUUAACCACUGAUGGUCAAAUAAAGAUCUUAAUUGAAGUCAUUAUGCAGAGAACUGAUCGAAUGGGUAGCAGGCAGUGAGUGAGGCUUUGCAUUUGCUUACCUGCAGCUUGAGAAAGCAUCCAAUAAUGAUCACUGGAAACUUGCCACACAUAGUAACCACGUAGCUUCUUUUCCUUGGCAUAUGCAACCUUCACUCUAACAGCCUCGACAUCAUCAAAACCAAACCAAAUCUUCCCAAUCGAGCAGUAAUUCACGACAUAAGUUGAAUUGUACAUUACUUGAACAUUAGGACGAUAGUUCUUGAUGUGAUUCUUGACUUCCUUAUAAGUCACAAGGCCAUCAUCAUGCAAAGCUGGUCCUGUUGUUGCUGCGCCAAUGCCAUUGUCCUCAGGUUUCACAAGCGUCCAUGCAUAGCCAUAAAAAGGCAAACAUAAAACCAAUUUAUCAGCCGAUAACCCUUCCUCAAUCCAUUCCGUGAUUCCAUAUUCAGUAUUAGAGACACUAUUUGGAUCAUACAGAGCCGCAUGAGCACCAGUAAAAUUUUUCCGCGUAGGGCUUGAGUAUUCGGUAGUGAUAACAUGAACCCAAUUCAAGUACUGUCUUAUCGAGUCGACUGGAUAAGCUGCUGCUGUUGAGAGUGGUGAAUAUGCGACCUUUGCUGUCAAAAUCAACUGUGAUUGGCUCGAGUUAUUUCUUGCUUCUAAAGCAACGGCAGCUCGCCAUUCUUUUAAAGAGAAUGCCAAUAUUGUACUUAUCCCAGUUUGUGUUUGCCUGAUUCCAAGACAGAUCUAAGCCUUGAAAGCCAUAAAGCCUUGCUAUUUUUAUUGAGGAGUCAAUAAAGUAUUUCCUGAAAGAAGGAUUGCCCGCCAUGGAAGAAUAACUUGAAUAGUUUGGAUUAUUGCCUCCUCCGAUGGAAAGAAGAGUAGUGAUUGAUGGGUUCUUUAUUUUGACAGUGUCUGUGAAGUUGGAGAAUUGUUUUUCAUCAGAAGGUGAUAAAGAAAGCUCAUAGGAAGUUGAGUUGACAUCGGCAAAACCACACAUAAGGUGAGUGAAAAGAGCAGAAUUUACAUCUGAAACGGGGAACCCACCGUCUGAAUCCCAGUAACCAGCUCUGAUUAAAGUUUGUGCCCUUGCAGGAAGCGAUUCUGAAAAUAUAAAAAUGUAGAGUACAAGAAUGAUAAUUUUGGAUGCCAUUGUGGGAACCUUGCUGCUUUGAGGCAAACCUAGUAUGUGAUUACAUAUAUAUGUACAGACACAAAAUGUAAUGGAGAAAAUAUCCGACACCGAUUGAGAUUUGUUAUUGGACUAUAAUACAAACUUGAGGCAACUUUCAACUCAUGAGCUUAGCUCAUAAGUCUUUAUACGGUAUCAAAGUCAAGUUUCGAAAGAGUGACUCUAUACUACCUUUCAAUUUAACAAAGAGAAAGAAAAGAGAUCAGCCUACACGUGGUAGGAAGAUAGAAAAAGUAUAUCACAUUGGCUAAGAUUAAUUACUAGGUUGAUAAUAUAAGCUCAAAACAACAUUUAACUGUUGCGGAAAUGUGGGUUGAGCAAUUACUAAUACUGCAACUUCUGAAGAAAUAUAAAUGUGGUGUUAAACAAAUGCAAAGAAAAUAUAACACAAUGAUUUACGUGGUUCGGCGUAAUGCUUACAUCCACAGGCAAAAACUAAAAGAUAAUUUUACUAACAAUGAAAAUUUACAAAAGUGAGAAAAAUUCACAAAACCCACAACCCCAAUACACCCAAAUGAAACCUAACUAGAACACUCAAAUGGAAGCUCUCGUAAAUUCUCUCAAAGAACUCACUUGCAAUUGCUCUCUCCAUUUCUUUCAAAUUGGGAUGAUUUACAAAUGCAUUUUGCUUCUCUAUUUAUAGGCAAAGCAUGCUCACCCACCACACGGCUUCAAUUUGACUUUAAUUGGCUAAAUUGACAAAUUUGGCAAUUGGUGCCAAAUUUGUCAUGCAAUGCAUGCUAGCUGUUCCAUGCCAUUUAUUCAAUUUGCAUAUUUUCAAAACCUAACUUUGCUUUUUUGAAAUUGGUAAGCCGACCAUUUGACUUUUCAACAUCAACUCCAUAACAAGCUGUAAUUUAAUAAAGUUAGGUCAACUCGAUAUUUUAUAUAGUACGUCAUGAGUGAGGAGGAGUUUAAGCUACAAAUCGCAGUCAUGAGUGAGGACAAAUUUGAUUCUCUCAAGAUUUUGCGUUUUGUACACGUUGAUCAUGGACUGAAUCAAAAUAGAAAAUAUUUUCACAGGAGUUUGCCUUCAAAUUGCACGAAUGGAACCAUAGAGGAAUACAUCGAAAAGUUUGUCUUCUUGCCAUGAUGUUAAGUGAGAAGAUUGAAGUUCUUAAAUUAAGCUAUGACGUUUUACCUCCACUUAGCUUGACUUCUGAAGCUGAAGACUCAUCCUUUUGCAUUGACUUUGUUGGUAUUUAAAUGACCUCGGAGUCUUGGACGUGUUUCUGAAGCAAUGUCAUGGUCUAUGAGUAGAUUUUAUUUUUUGGGUAAGAAAGGGAAAGUCUGUCGUUAGGAAAACAUCCUGACAACGAGAUGGUGAGAGGGGAUGAAAAAGAAAUUAUACACUUAGUUACUUCCUCAUGAUAAGAUUCAGUGGUAUUGUAAUUUUAAUAAAAAAUUAAGACCAUUUUGCCUUUUUCCUUGUGUAAUUUAAUUUUCAGUCAAGACCACCCUCCCAUUUUAGUACAGGGAAAUUAUCAUUUGUAUAUUCUUAGUUUACUCCAUUAUCAAAAAUAUUACAACACUUUGAGGGUGUAUCAAUCGUCUACCCUAAGUUGACAAAAUGUAUUAGCUGACCACCAAACCGUUAGUUGCCGUUUAAGUAUGAUGAUAUCAGAAGGGUAAUUUGGUUUUUUCAUAUGAUACAAGUGAUAAUUUAAGGGUAUACAAGUGAUAAAAAGAGAAUUUAAGGGUAUACAAGUGAUAAUUUUCAAGGGUAAAAUCGUCAAUUCACUGUAAUUCCGUUAACUUUCAAACGGCAACUAACGGUUUGGUGGUCGGCUGAUACAUUUUGUCAACUAAGGGUGGACGAUUGAUACACCCUCAAAGUGUUGUAGUAGUUUUGAUAACAGAGCAAAUAUAAGGUAUACGAAUGAUAAUUUUCCUUUAGUAUAAAAGCCUAUACAAAUGUACGUUUUACUCAAUGUUUACAUAGAAACAAAUGGCGCGAAGACGAUUUGUCAAUCUAGUACCACUCUCGUAUACUUGGUAAGAUUUGGCUUCACCAAAUUGUAGCCUAUAUUUUACUUUAAUGAGAAAAUCAAAUAAUAUAUGUUUGAACAAAUAAUUUUCUUUGCUCUAUAUACUUUCUUAAAAUGUAUGGAGUGGGUAAAGUAUAAAUUGAUCUCUUAGCCCGUUGACUCCUCCAAAAUUCAAACUCAAUUUAAUGGUAAGUUAAAUAAUGCUACUUGAAAAUCAUUCCACCAAAUAUCAUAAAAACUAUAAUUAAGUUUCACUGAUUAUUGAAUUAUAGAAUGUGCUAUCAUUUCCUAGCUAGAAUUUGUUUAAUUCUAUUAAUUUACAAUCAUUUUUAUUUUAUUUAAUUAAUUAAAGUGAAUUUAUUAUGUAUAAGUUCUAUAUAUGUAAAAUUUUAAAAUCUAAUGUUGAAUUGAAUUGUACUGAACUUUUUAUAAUUUUUUAUCACGCCUGCAAAUUUAACAGUUUUGUAUUAAUAUUGAUAGCACAUAAUAUAUAGGAUUAAGAGAGAUUGGUUUCGAGUUGCUACAAGCAUUUUGGGAUUGCAUGCACAAGGGUUUAUAAACAAAGGGUGCAAUUAAUUACCCCAAACGAGGGUGCAUUUUUAUGAUGAAAUAAAAACUACGUGCGGGGUUGUAAAAGUGGCUCCAUAAUUAAUGUACAUUAACAUUCAUCUAGCUAUCACCUCCGAAAAUGAUACAGCAUAAGCCGAGCAUUUUUCCAAUUGUGUUGUAGAUAAUAGUUCAAUCCCAAUUUCAUCAACUUGUUUUGAGAAAGGAGGCUUCUUGGGAGUAUUAAUAUUUGUGGUUCCAUUCUUGAGCAUUGAGGAAACUUCCAGCAUUGAAGGUCGGUCGUUUGGAUUCUCCUGGACACACAACAAAGCUAUUUCCAGACAUCUCAUUAAUUUACAAGGGGAAUUUGUAUUGUCUAGGAAUGAAUCCACAAACUCCACGCCUUUGCCACCUUUCCACAACUGAUAUGCCUGAAAUUAUCAAGUACCAUCUCGUUACAUAAUUUAUACUUCUUAAUUAAGUGCGCAUAUGUGUACUCAGGGUUACUAUAGCCGAAGAAACUUACGUGCUCUAGAAUGCUUAAAUUUUCAUUGAUGCCACAUAACACUGAAAGCCUCUUUCCACUUAUGAUUUGUAGAAGUAAAACUCCGAAACUAAAAACGUCUGAUUUGGUAGAGUAUACACCUUGUCUGGCGUACUCAGGAGGAAUAUAGCCUCUGCAUUCAAAAUAACCAAGUAUAUAUGAGUAAGGGAUUUUGCAAUUUAAUAAAUUUGUAAAACCCAUUUUAAAUUGUGGUAAAAGUCCAUUCCGCAUUUUAUUAAAGUGCUGAAUUCCUUAUUCGAAACCCAAUAUAUGUAUAACAAACAGAAGCUUGAGUAAAGGAUAUCAUUUAGUUGUGAUAUACUUACAUUGUUCCCACAACUUGUUCUGAUUCGCGUCGAGACUCUCUUUUGCAAAAAUUCUAGCCAUACCAAAAUUUGAAAUUUUAGGUUUCAUAUCUUGACCUAACAAAACAUUACUGGCUUUCAAGUCUCGAUGAAUAAUAGUCAGUCUUGAGUAUUCUUGGAGGUAUAAAAGUCCUUGAGUUAUCCCUUCAAUGAUAUGAACAUGUUUUUUCCAAUCCAAAAGAAGUCUUCUGAUGGGAUCUACAACAAAUAUAUAGUUUUGGACAAUAAGUGAUAUACAAGCGAAUUAUAUACACAAUUGAUAUUAACUUGAUUUCAGAACAAACCAAAAAGGUAGCAAUCCAAGCUUUUGUUUGGCAUGUAUUCGUAGACCAGCAUCCGUUCCUCACUGUCAAUGCAAAAACCUAAAACUCUAAUAAGAUUUACAUGUUGGAGUUUUGCAGUAAGAAUAACCUCAUUCUUAAACUCCUCAAAUCCCUGUGCGGAUGAUUUCGAAAGUUUCUUCACUGCUAUCACCACUCCACAGGGUAAUACACCCUGCAACCCAAAAAAAAACCACGUUCAUAUAAAGCUUUCACUAAUUAGAGACGCUGAGAAAUGUUAGCCAAACAAUAUGCUACCCCCCAAAGUUGAGGGCACCAUUUUAAGUCCUUUAGUCCCCAUGGACGCAAAAUGUAAAUCUCCUCUCACAGAAUAUGGAUAUGGGUAGAGGUAUCUUCCUCAAAUGUUAGUCAAAGUAGUUAUAUCCCUCUAGUGUGAGGUUAAAGGUCUCAUCUCUAAUAGGCAUAGAGUUUUAAAUUAUAUGUUUUGGGCCUCUGAAUUCUACGACGAGUGUACAAAUUCAAACUUCCGAUAGGAUCCAAAUUGCAACAUUGUGGAUUGUAACAAAUUAAAAUAUAGGUACACACACACACACACAUGUUACCUUGUAAACAGGACCAUAUCCACCCUCCCCAAGGUUAUUUCUAAUUGAAAAUCCCUCGGUGGCCGCCUCAAUAUCAGCCAAACUAUAUACUCUGAGAUUAGGAACAUUUCUGUUAAAGUCUCCAGCUUCUGUUUCAUUAUUUUCUCUCGUGUUUGAUGCUUUAGCAGAAUCCUCUGUUCCUAACAUCAACCAAGAGUAAAUAUUAGAUAAUUAAUUGUAUGUCAGCCUAAGUUUUAUAUAUAUAUGAAAUGCAUGCUUAAUUAUAAUUGGUAGCUGAAGCUUGUUACCUUCUAUUAACUUGAGCCUUUUCAUCUGGUUGUAUUUAUAUGCACAACAACUUAGAAGGAGAGUCAAAGCUGCCGCUGCAGUCGAAAUGAGUACCAAGGACAGAUGGCGGUUAUUACUAUGUUCAUCUUUGUCAGCUGAAGCAGAAGUAAUCCUGUCUUUUUGUGCUGGAAAUAUGUAUAGUUCAGCAAUUAAUAAUAACUAGCUAGAGAUGCCAUAACAAUCAUUAUUAAUCAGAGAGAACAAUUAUUGCAUAGAUAAAUACCUGCAGCUUGAGAAAGUACCCAAUUAUGAUCGUCAUAAUCAACUCGCCAAACAUAGUAACCAAGAAAUCUCUUCUCUUUGGCAUAGGCGAUCUUAGCUCUAACAGCCUCCACAUCAUCAAAACCAAACCAAAUCGUCCCAGUGGAGAAGUAAUUCACCACAUAAGUUGAAUUGUACAUAACUUGAACAUUAGGACCAUAGGUCUUGAUGUGAUUCUUGAUAUCCCUAUAGGUCACAAGGCCACCAUUACUCAUAGCUGGUCCUGCUGCUGCUACUCCAAUACCAUUGUCUUCAGGUUUCACAAGCGUCCAUGCAUAGCCGUAGAAAGGCAAACACAAAACCAACUUAUCAGCCAAUAACCCUCUCUAAAUCCAUGCCCUUAAAACCUGAUCAGUACUGUCAAAGAAGCUCAUAAUGCAUGGAAGGAUGCAGCACACGUGUGAGAUGAAUAUAGUCAGCUGAAUCAAUUGAAGAGUGGAGUGCCAGCUCAGCUGAAGUUAGUUAGACACGUUAAGAUCAAGUUUUAGUUAGUUCUUCAUUUUCUGUUAAGCUGAAAAACAGCUGAGUAUAAAUACAAGCAUAUUGUAAUCAUUUUGAGGUUAAGUAAAAAUAAAAUAAAGCAUUUGAUUCCAGAAUUUCUUUUACAAAUUUUCUUAGCACUUUAGAUACAUUUUCUCAGUAACCAAACAGUUUGUUCAUUCAAGCUUUUAAGCUUUCAAACAUGGUAUCAGAGCCUUACAGAGCUAGUUCCAGUAAUCAACAGUCAAGCCUUCGUAAUCAAACAACAAACAACACAAAUCAACCUACUCAAAUCAACUUCUCUUUUUCUAAUCCUAUCAAGCUAGAUCGAUCCAAUUACUUACUCUGGCGUUCUCAAGUUUUGGCCUCAAUAAGAGGCAAUCGUUUGGAAGAUUUCGUCACAAGAGCCAGAUCAGUACCUGAUAAGUGUCUUCUGUUAACUGAAGCAGAUGGAUCUACACAACAAGUUGAAAAUCCAGAAUAUCAGAUCUGGAGAUCACAGGAUCAGACACUUCUUGGCUGGCUACUGUUGUCAUUAAGUGAAGGUAUCUUAAGUCUUGUAAUCAAUUGUGAGAGUUCAUUUGAUAUAUGGAAAACUUUGGAAAAGAAAUUUGGAGUUCAAUCUGAAGCUCGAGUUCUUCAGCUCAGAUACGAACUAAACACUCUUAAAAAGGAAGCCCUUAGUGUUGAAGAUUAUUGUAUUAAAAUGAAAGCAAUAGCAGAUAAGCUGGCCAGUGCUGGUAGUUCAAUUACAGAGAAGGAUCUUAUGCUAACUAUUCUUAAUGGAUUAGGAUCAUGAUAUCGUGAUAUUGCUACAUUUAUAACUGGUUCACGAAUGGAGUUUGAUGAUGCUUAUGCACUGUUACUCACUCAUGAGACUAGAUUAGAGCAGGAGCAAGGUGACAAAAGUAUGUUUAAUGCAAACUAUGCAUACACAAAUGCAUAUUAUCCUAGAGCUUAUUUUGCACAGCCUAGAAGAAGUUUUAAACGAGGAGGUUAUUCUGGUGGUAGAACUCCUUUCUUUGGCAGAGGAAAUAUGAAUUACUCUCCAAGAAUGUUUAAUGGAGGCUUUAGAAAUGGAUAUGGCAGAGGAUUUUUUCCUGGAAAUAACUCAACUGAUUUCAAUCAUUUUCCAGCUCCUAGGAAUCCAGUACCUAGGAACUCAUCUUUUCCAGCUAGAAAUGGAUCUGCUAACAUGAGUGGAUCACAAGGAAGUUUUAAUAAUGCUGGAGAGAUGACAUGUCAGAUUUGUUUUAAGAAUGGCCAUACUGCUGAUGUCUGUUGGCACAGAUUUGUUGAAGAUUUUGUACCUGUUCCAAGAGGUUUUGGCAAGGGAAGAACACCAAGAGCAGCAUAUUUAUCAAACUUUGAUGGCUCCAUUUCUAAUCCAGAUUUUGGCUAUGAAAAUCUUAAUACUAUGUUUCCAGGUUAUGACUCUAUAUCUGGCAAUAGCUACUAUUCUGGAAUGGAUGGAUACACUUCUGGAGCAGCUAGAACAGCUUUCAUGGCAAAUUUUGAAGGGACUGCUGAUGAUGGAUGGUAUCUGGAUAGUGGGGCAACUCACCAUUUAACCAACAAUAUGGAGAAUUUGCAGAUCAAUGAAGAGUUUAAAGGUACUGAUUAGCUUAUCAUUGGAAAUGGUCAAGGUUUGUCUAUUACUCAUGUUGGACAUGCAUUUCUGGUAUUAAGAGCUUCUAAACCCUUAUCUACACAUGCUAGAAUAAAACUUAAAGAUAUGUUACUUGUCCCUUCAAUUACCAAAAAUCUAUUAAGUAUUUCUAAACUCACAUCUGAUAACCCUUUAUCUGUUGAAUUCUGUGGAAAUGCUUGUUUUGUGAAGGACAUGAAGGGUCAAGUUCUUCUGCAGGGUAUUGCUGAAAAAGGCCUUUACAAGCUGCUGCUGAACUCAAAUUCUCUUUCUUCAUCACCUACAUCUUAUCUUUGUAAAUCCCAGCCAAAUAAACUAGUCUCUAUGUUGUCUGCUUUCAAACACUCUGAUAAUGGUACUCGAGCUUGUUUUCAGUUUGUUUUAAAUAAGUGUAAUGCCAAACCUAAUGUAAUAACUUUGUUACAUAGAAAGUUUGGUCAUCCAAGCUCAAUGACAUUGAUGCAUUUGCUCAAAUCAUGUAAACAGUUUAAAGUCUCUCCAAAAGACAUGUUAUCUUCUGCAAGUACUUUAUGUGAAGCAUGUCAGCUAGGCAAAGUCCAUAAGCAACAUUUCUCAAUAACCGAAACAAAAACAAAAGAGGUAUUAGAAUUGAUCCAUACUGAUCUUUGGGGGCCUUCACCCACUGUGUCUAGAGAUGGAUACAAAUAUUACAUUAGUUUUGUGGAUGAUUACACUAGGUACUCUUGGAUCUAUCCUCUUAAGCUCAAAUCACAAGCAUUUGAAGUUUUCAAAUUGUGCAAAACUCAAGUUGAAAAUCAGUUUGAUACCAAAAUUAAGAUGCUACAAUCUGACCUUAGGGGAGAGUUUAGAGCAUUUACUGAUUUUCUCAAUCAAAAUGGAAUAAUCUUUAGGCACUCAUGUCCUUACAUCCAUCACCAGAAUGGUCUUGUUGAGAGGAAGCACAGGCAUAUAGUUGAACUAGGAUUAACCCUCAUGGCUCAAGCAAAUCUUCCUCUUCAAUUCUGGUGGGAAGCUGUUCAUACAGCAGUGUAUCAUAUUAAUAGAUUGCCUACCCCUGUUCUGAAAUUCUUAUCUCCUUAUGAGAAACUUUUCAAACACAAACCAGAUUACACAUUUCUAAAGUGUUUUGGUUGUCUUUGUUAUCCAUACUUGAGAGACUUUAACAAACAUAAGUUUGAUUUUCACACUUCUAAAUGCAUUUUUAUUAGAUACAAUCCCUCUUAUAAAGGAUACAAAUGCUUAGCAAGUUUUGGUAAAGUCUAUGUUCUUAGACAUGUCAUUUUUUAUGAAACACAUUCCCUUAUCCAAUAAACAUUGCAUUCUCAACAGAAAAUCACAUAUCUUCUAAAACCUCAGUGUCUAAUUUCUCUCAGCAACAUAUCUAUCAUCUUUCUACAAUAGCCUUACUCAACAGCAGCUUUGAAGGUCUUCAGUCAGCAAGCUCAGCAAGAAAUGAACAAAUGCCCUUUGGUCCCACACAUACAGAUGUUUUGAAUCAACAAGAACAUCCAUCACACACAUCCUUAGAGUUAUCAUCCUCAACCUCACCAUCACCAAACACAUUACUAAUGCAAUCAUCCAUUCUACAACCAGAGGAAACUUCUUCACAGAAUAUAGACCAAAUUCAAACCAGAAAUCAUUCCCAACCAUCUUCUCAUCCAAUGAUUACCAGAUCGAAAUCUGGAAUCUUCAAACCAAAGGUCUAUACAGUCACCUUAGCCAACAAAGAACCCAGUACAGUUCAAGAAGCUCUUAGUAGUCAGAAUUGGCAUCAAGCCAUGGUAGAUGAGUAUGAAGCUUUGAUGAAGAAUAAGACUUGGUCACUGGUACCAUUUUCAAAUGCAUACAAAGUAGUUGACAACAAAUGGGUGUUUAGACUCAAGCAAAAUACUGAUGGAAGCAUAGCCAAACACAAGGCCAGAUUGGUUGCCAAAGGUUUUCAGCAAACUGAAGGUGUGGAUUACUUUGAGACAUUUAGCCCAGUUGUAAAAGCUUCAACAGUGAGGAUUGUUUUGAGUUUAGCUGUGAUGCAUAAAUGGAAAAUAAGGCAAGUGGAUGUGAAUAAUGCCUUUUUGAAUGGAGAAUUGACAGAGGAUGUCUAUAUGUAUCAGCCUGAAGGUUUUAUUGAUCAACAAAAACCUAAUCAUGUAUGCAAGCUGAAGAAGGCCUUGUAUGGCUUAAAGCAAGCUCCUAGAGCUUGGUAUGACAAGCUUAAGAAUUGUCUGAUUGCUAAUUGGAAAUUUCAGAAUUCAAAGGCUGAUACCUCUCUUUUCUUCAAAGAAGUGCAGGGCUCAAUGAUACUCAUCUUAAUCUAUGUAGAUGACAUUCUAAUGACAGGACCUGACAAUGGUGAACUGGAGAAAUUCAUCUCAAAAUUCAGUAAGACUUUUGCUUUAAAAGACUUGGGAAUUCUGUCAUAUUUUCUAGGAAUAGAAGUGUCCUAUGCUGAAGAUUGCAUCUAUCUAUCUCAGAAGAAAUAUAUCUUGGAUUUGUUAUCCAAAGCUAAUAUGCAAAAUUGUAAAGGCUGUGACACUCCCAUAGUUACUGGAUCAAAGCUUCAGAAAGAAGUCACAGGCUGUUUGGGUCAAUAUAUUGAGGAUGCAACAAGCUAUAGAAGCUUAGUUGGAGGUUUACAAUAUCUAGUAUUAACCAUACCAGAGAUAGCAUUUGCUGUGCAUAAGUUGAGCCAGUAUGUGACAGCUCCAACACUCCAGCAUGUUAUGGCUUGUAAAAGAGUUCUUAGAUACCUCAAGGAGACUGCAGAUUAUGGUUUGAAGUUUUCAGCAGGUGGGGAAAUGAAGAUCACAGGAUUUACAGAUGCAGAUUGGGCAUGUGAUGUUGAUGACAGAAAAUCAAUAGGAGCCUAUUGCAUUUAUUUUGGAAGCAAUCUAAUUUCCUGGUCAUCCAAGAAGCAGGCUGUGGUUACACGAUCCAGUGCAGAGAGUGAAUAUCGUGCUCUUGCUUCUGCAAGUGCAGAGAUAACAUGGAUCCAGUCGUUAUUCAAUGAACUUAGCAUUAAGUGUACUUCAUUACCAACUAUCUGGUGUGACAAUAUAAGUGCAACAGAGUUGGCCAAGAAUCCAGUUUAUCAUUCAAGGACUAAACACAUUGAACUGGAUAUGCACUUUAUUAGAGACAAGGUUUUGGCAAAGGAGUUAGAGAUUAACUAUAUUCCCAGCGAGGAGCAAAUUGCUGAUGCUUUGACAAAGCCUCUGACAUUUAUUCAUUUCAACUAUUUCAGAGCCAAACUCAAUGUGCAACCAUGCCCCUUGAGUUUGAGGGGGACUGUCAAGGAAGCUCAUAAUGCAUGGAAGGAUGCAGCACACGUGUGAGAUGAAUAUAGUCAGCUGAAUCAAUUGAAGAGUGGAGUGCCAGCUCAGCUGAAGUUAGUUAGACACGUUAAGAUCAAGUUUUAGUUAGUUCUUCAUUUUCUGUUAAGCUGAAAAACAGCUGAGUAUAAAUACAAGCAUAUUGUAAUCAUUUUGAAGUUAAGUAAAAAUAAAAUAAAGCAUUUGAUUCCAGAAGUUCUUUUACAAAUUUUCUUAGCACUUUAGAUACAUUUUCUCAGUAACCAAACAGUCUGUUCAUUCAAGCUUUUAAGCUUUCAAACAAGUACUUCUAGCAUAGCCGCCGCUACUUGAGCCAUACAGAGCCGCAUGUGCCUCGGUGAAGUUUGUUGACAUAGGCUCGUAGUAUUCAGCUGUAACAACAUGAACCUAAUUCAAGUUUCGUUGCAUCGAUUUCAAAAGGUACGAAUUGUCUGGUGGUAAAUAACGAAAUCUUGCGGUCAGGAUCAGCUGGGAUUGCUGGCGGCCAGAGUUUUUUGCCUCUAAUUGUGUAGCAGCUCGGCACUCGUCAAAGAAUAAACCCGUAUUGGACAUAUCGGUGCUCGUGUUCGGAGCUUUCCAAGCAAAGUCUAGGCCCUGAAAGCCAUAAAGCCUAGCUAUUCUUAUUGAAGAGUCGAUGAAAGAUUUCCUGUGAGAAGAAUUUCUCACCAUUGAAGAAUAUAUAGAAUAGUUUGUAUAUCUUCCUUGUCUAAUGGAGAGAAGUGUAGUGGUUGAUGGGUUCUUUUGUUUCACAGUGCCUGUAAAUUUGGGGAAUAUUUGAUUUCCAUCAAACGGUGAUGAUAAAGAUAGCUGGUAAGUGGUGGAAUUGAUAUCAGCGUAAGAGCAGAUAAGGUGAGUGAAGAGAUCAUAAUUUAUGCCCGAAAUGGUGGACACUUCGCUUGGAUCCAAGUAGCCGACCCUGAUCCACGGUUUUGCUUUCGCGGGAUGAAAUUCUGAAUAGAACAACAUGUGGAAGAUGAUGCUGAUAAUUAUGGAUGCCAUUUGAGAGGCUUAUGCUUCUUAAUUACCACUUCGAUGGGAAUGGAAAUGAAUGCACACUAAUAGAAAUUAAAUAAACACAAGUUUCACAGUUCAUUAAGCUCUCAUGUGUACUAUUAACGUAUAGGUUCAUUUCGUUGCCCAAAAAAAUCUUAUGUGCUCCUGAUAGGGACACAUACAUUGGAUGAUAAGAUGAUGAUAGGCGAUGCGACCAUUGCCCAAGAACUAAGAUUUUCUUCUAUCGCGUGGGUGACUUUUCAUGAAGAAAAAUGAUGUUUUGAUUGACAUAUGGUUAAACCGAUGCCAUAUUUCGGGCUACAAAUAUCAGUAUUGUUUUAUUAAAUAAUUAAAAAAAUUAAUUUUACGUGCAUGUUGAAGGUAAUAUUGCAGUCUUUUGAGCCUGUGUUGAAUUUCAUUCGUGUGCGUUCAUUUAUUAUCUAUCCUCUUUUUUCUCUGUGUGUCUGCUAGCUCUAGUCAUCUUAAAAGAAUAACAUGUUUAAUUAAUGCAUGUAAAUGCACCGCAAAAGUAGUUAAGAAAGACUUGAUCAAAGAUCAGACAUUUUCUCUCUACUCAAAAAGUAGUUAUUGGACUAAUUAAGAUUCUAAUCCCUUUAAGAAAUAUUGAAAAAGGGUUACUGUCACUACUUCAGUCCUUGUUGUUACAUAUAUAUAUAUAUAUAUAUAUAUAUAUAAAUUUAAAGAAGCAUCACAUAAAUCCUUCCUAAUUAUAUUUUGUUUCAUUCAAGUUGUUGACUUAAUUUGUCUGCUUGGAAAAAUUAGUAAAAAGGUAAAAAUAAAAAAAUGUAAAUUCUACUUAUUAGACUAAAUAUAUAGUAUAAAUUUGCAGCAACCAGCAAAAGUUUGGAAUAUGAAAAAUCCUAUUAAUUUUUAAAAAAUCUCCGAAAGUUUGAAAACUAAUAUUUUAAGGUCCUUUUACAAUAACCAUAAUUAACAUGAAUUUACUAAAUUAGGCAAACCCGAAUUACUACCAUAUAAUAAAAUUUUAUAACAGAAAUAAGAAAACAAAACAAAUAGCAUCAAAUCUUAUAUCUAAAAAAAAAUCUUGAAAUAAAUAGAAAAAAUAAGAAAAUAACUAAAACUUGCAAAAUGACCAUGAAAGAAAUGAAAUUUCCGACUGAACCAAAGGGCCAAUACACAUAGCAUUAUUGGACUAGAUCUAUCAUGGUGCAAACUUCAAAACAGUAUAUUAUAUUUUCUAAAUGGACACAUAUAGGUUAAGUUAUGAUAUUAAAAAAUAUCCUAUUCAUCUUACACAACCAUUCUAUGUCACUAUAUCUAUACACUAAUAAUAUAACCCAAACAUUUAUGGAGCAUAACUCACAGACCUCCACUAAUUACACUAAAGUUUACUCUCAUUUUAUAAGAGAGAGAAAUGUUCUCGUUCUCCAUUUAUGGGGGAUUAAACCAAAUGGUCUGUUUUUGAUUUUCUGGUAAGUUGUGUAACGUUGGAGCUUUUUGGCACUUCUUUGACGAAAAGUCGUUCUCUUCGACAACCCAAAAUUCGGGCCAAUGGGCAAUUAUGAAAGUCCAUUGGAUGCAUUGGACCAAACUAAAAGUCCAUAUAUAUAUGUAUAUAUAUAUAUAUAUUCAAUAAAUGAAAUGAAAAAAUGCAAUUGGCUUGCAGUUGCAAAGCUUCUUUGUUUAUUAUUAUAUAAUAUAAUAUAAUAUAAUUUUAUAUCAUUUUGAAUAUCAAAAUUUUAUUUCAAAAUUUAUUUAACACUAGUGUUUAAUAUAAGAUACAAUACUACCAAAAUUCUAUUCAAUAGUUUAUUUAAAAUAGUAUUGACUAUUAAAAAUAAGAAUUUACACUAAUAUUAAAUAUUAAAUUCAACAAUUAGUAACAUUAUUUAAAAUAAUUAUAGUAUUUAAAUGGUUAUUUAUCUUUAUUAAAUAAGAUUUAACAUAAUCCUCUGCGACAUUUUACUAAAUAAAUACAGUACUAUAUAUAAUCCAAUCUAAUCUUAAACAAUAAUCUAUUCUAUUCCUACCUUCCAAAUAUAAACACAAUAGAUAAUGAGAGCAUGAGCUAUGAGAUUAUAAAUCAUGGAUCAAGGGAGUAGAGAUACAGACCUUGAGAUCAUAGAUCGUAGACUAUUAGAGACUAAAGACCGUGGACAAAUCCGAGUACAUUAAAAAAAGGGGAAUUUUAGUCAAAUGUAGAUUGAUAUUAAGGAAUUCAGCAAGCAAGCUACAAGAAUAUCCAAAAGCGUGUAAUUUAUGUUUAAGGAAACAAGUGGAGAUAGAGAUGAAAUUGUAAAUUCAUCCCAAUCUUAAGUGGCUUAAUUCAAGAUGUAUGUUACCUACAAGCACAAUAAUAUGUACACGUUAUGUAUACAUGCAUCACAUACGUGCGUCGAUCAUCGAUGUAAAAGUAACAGUAAAUUUCUAGUAAAACAAACAUCAUUACUUUUAGUAUAAGAUGUAAAAAAUAUCAAUUAAUAACCAUUAGAAAAUAAAAAUUUAUGUAAUUGAUGCAGAUAAAUGGAAUCAAGUAGUAACAUUUCCUUCUCAUUGAAGAGAAAAGAUUAAAAAAAAGAAAAGGGGGGGGGGGGGGGGGGGGGAGGAGCGCAAACAUGACAAUUAUUUUUAUCCGCACGUGCCAUGAUAAUCGAUAAUCCGAUAUACCAACCGCGUCUAAUUGUCUGAAUUCUCAAGCUUAUCAAGCUUGCUCAAUCGCACCGCAGACACUGACCAUGGGAGAUUAAUCACCACUCGCAGUAUUAGGCGCGUGAAGGACACAUUCGCCAAUAAUUUAUAGCGGACAGUAGCAUUCCCGAUGCUGCGCGGAGAAAAAUAGUUGGGCUUGCGAAAGUUAAAUUGACUUGACUCGACAGAGUGAAGAAUGGUGGUGGUUGCUGUUAAGCAGUCGGUACUUCUGGCGACUGCUUGGCUUACACGCAGUUCCCGGGGGUGUCAUUUGACUGUGAAAGAGAAUUUUGGCUUUAUUGAUAUCUUGUUGGAUUUGGAAUUUUGGAUGGCUUCGUGUAGACCAUAAGACACGAUAUCGUUCAUAACACGUUAGCAUUCUUUCUCACGGGAGAAAAACUCGGGUGGGAGCAGAUGUACCAUCUCAACUGCCGUUUAUAAAUGGCUGUCAAAUAAUUAAUCAAAAUUUUAUUAUUUACGGUUAUAAUUGGAAUGAUAAAAAAUCAAUUCGAUGUUAUUCUUUGUGGCUCUGCUUAGAAUACUAAAAAAUCAAAUCGACUUAUUUAUUUUUAUAUUGAUCAUUACAAGUCUCUUGAAUUUUUUACCUACUUCAUUAACUUGUUAUUUUGAGUUGUACGUAACAUGGCUUUUUUUGUUUUUUACUUUACUUUGGUUUUCUUUAUAACCCAUAAAAAUUUUCUUGUUAAGACUGUGUGAACCAAUUGAAACUUCAGAUUCAUACUAGAACUAUGAUGAUUUGAUAAGAGCUUCAAAUUAAAUCCACAGAUUCUAUGAAAAGAAAAGAAAAGAAAAAGUCUUUUAUUGGUAAAAGAAGAAAGCUCUUCGGCACUGAUCCGAAGAAAAAUCAUUCUCCAUACAAUGAGCAAAACAAAGUCCAAUUCGCAUUACAUAGAAGUAAAACCGAAGCAUUGGACUAAAAGCAUACAUUAGUCUUAUUUUUCGUUACUGAUAACAUUUUUUUUCCCUUAUAUUAUCACCUUAAUUAAGAAAAAUAAUAAUUUGUUUAACUAAUUACAAAAAAGGAUGGCUAUAUACAAUAUUCUUGUGUUGGAUGGCCUUAAAAGUCAAUUCUUUUGAAACAGGAAAACUGGUAUCGUUUUUCAAAACACAAAAAUAUUAUGUUAAGAAAAUGAAUGGUCUUUAAGAGUUAUGACAAUGAUAUCAAUAAAAUUACAAAAUCUUAAGAGUUUAUAGAUGUAGUUAGUGAUAUUACAUUACAUUAAUUAAUACAAUGCAAAUUGUUUACUAAUAGAGCCUCAGGAGAGUGAUUCAUUAUUUAGUUGGCCAAUUAAACAACUGCAGCAGUCACUAGCAGCUUGCCAAGAGCUAGCAUAGAUCAAUUGUUCAUCUACCAACCAAUUUUGAAAUUGUUACAUCAUUACUUGAACAUAUUUCCAAUCCAAUCGUGGCUUUGUUUUGUUCAUCUUCAUAAGCUUUGUUUGAGAAACUUGCAGGCUUCUUUGGAGUCAUUAUAUCAGCUGUAUUUUCAUUUUCGAUCAACGAAGAAAUUUCUAGUAUAGAAGGUCUAUUGUUUGGGUUCUCCUGAACACAUAGCAAAGCUACUUGCAGACAUGUCAAUAAUUUCCAUGAGGAAUGCGUAUCAUCUAGUGAUGGAUCCAUUAACUCCGUGCCUUUCCCAUCCUUCCACAACUCGUAUGCCUGAAAACAUCAAAUAUGUUAUUGACUAACAUUCAAUUAAUUAGCACUGUAAUGUUUUGAUUCAGUGAAUAUUAAAAAGGGGGUUAUGAAGAAACUUACAUACUCUACAAGGCUUAGAUUUUCAUUUUGACCAUAUCGAAUGAAAAGUCUUCGCCCACUUAUAAUUUGCAGAAGCAAAACCCCAAAACUGUAGACAUCAGAUUUAGUGGAGUAGAUGCCUCUUCCGACAUAUUCAGGAGGGAUAUAGCCUCUGUAGUAUCAAGUAAUUAUAAAUGUCAGUGUUUGACAUAAAAGAUUAAGUUGAUUGGUAAAGGUUCAACAAUAAUAUUAAAGGCAUGUCAGACAAUAAUAGACAAAUAUACACUUACUGUGUUCCAACAAUUCGAUUUGUGUUUGCUUCAAGAUCAUCUUUCACAAAAAUUCUAGCCAAGCCAAAAUAUGAUAUUUUAGGUGUCAAAUCUUCAUCCAACAAAAUAUUACUAACUUUUAAGUCUCGAUGAAUAAUUGUUAAUCUAGAAUAUUCUUGGAGAUAGAGAAGCCCCUGAAUAAUUCCUUAAAUGAUAUAAAUACGUUUUUUCAAAUCCAAAAUAAGCCUUCGGAUGGGAUCUGCAUCAAAUGUAAACUUAGUUGGACGGUCAGCACCAUUAGCAUUUGGAGACAGAGAAAUGCAAAUUGAGGCACAAAAAUUAGAAAUUAAGCAGUUAAGCACACACCAAAAAGGAAAUAGUCUAAGCUUCGUUUUGGCAUAUACUCAUAGAUGAGCAUAUAUUCUUGCGUGUCGAUGCAAAAACCCAAAACUCUGAUCAAAUUUAUGUGUUGAAGCUUUGCAGUAAGCAUAACCUCAUUCUUGAACUCCUCAAAUCCUUGUGUGGAUGUCUUCGAGAGUUUCUUCACUACUAUUAUUUGUCCAUCAGGUAAUGCACCCUGCAAGCACCCCCCAAAAUAUAUGUUUUUUUAAAAAUCAGUGUGUUCACACACACACACACGUAGCUUGCACUAAUUAAUUAAUAAGCUAAGAGAUAACCAAGCUACCGAUACAUAACCUUGUAAACAGGACCAUAUCCACCCUCCCCGAGCUUAUUUUCGAUUGAAAAUCUAUCCGUGGCCACCUCAAUAUCAGCCAAGCUAUAUUCUCUCAGAUCAGGAUCAUUGCUGUUAAAAUCUCCAGCAUCUGCUUGACUAUUUUCGCUGUCCUUUGAUGCUUUGGCUGAGUCAAUUACGGUCCAAUUAAUAUCAACCAAGAGAAAGAAAGCUAAUUUAAGUGAAUUGCCCACUUCUUCAUCUGUGUUAAAUGGAAUAGAAGUAAAAAUAUUCCUAAUCCCGUGUAGAAGAAGUUACCUUUUAAUUUGAGGUUUUUCAUCCAGCAGUAGUAAUACAGUAAAAAACCAAUUAGAAGAAUACAAGCUGCCGUUAUAGGGAAAACAAUUGCCCAUAAUAGUCGCUUAUUUUGUCGAUUCUUAUUUUCCUCUUGAGCUGAAAAGUCAAAUCACUUUGUGUUAGUUAAACAUUUGAUGGUCAAAUAAAGAUCUUAAUUGAAGUCAUUAUGCAGAGAACUGAUCAAAUGGAUAGCAGGCAGUGACUGAGGCUUUGCAUUUGCUUACCUGCAGCUUGAGAAAGCAUCCAAUAAUGAUCAUAGGAAACUAGCCACACAAAGUAACCACGUAGUUUCUUCUCCUUGGCAUAUGAAACCUUCACUCUAACGGCUUCGACAUCAUCAAAACCAAACCAAAUCUUCCCAAUCGAGAAGUAAUUCAUCACAUAAGUUGAAUUGUACAUAACUUGAACGUUAGGACCAUAGUGCUUGAUGCGAUUCUUGAUUUCCUUAUAAGUCACAAGGCCGCUAGAAUACAAAGCUGGUCCUGUUGCUGCUGCACCAAUACCGUUGUCCUCAGGUUUCACAAGCGUCCAUGCAUAGCCAUAGAAAGGUAAACAUAAAACCAAUUUAUCAGCCGAUAACCCUUCCUCAAUCCAUUCCGUGAUUCCGUAUUCAGUAUUGGAGAUACUAUUUGGAUCAUACAGAGCCGCGUGAGCACCAGUAAAAUUUGACCACAUAGGUUUUGUGUAUUCAGUAGUCAAAACAUGAACCCAAUUCAAGUAUUGACUUAUCGAGUCGACUGGGUAAGCUCCUGCUCUUGAGAAUGGUGAAUAUGCGACCAUUGCCGUCAAAAUCAACUGUGAUUGGCUCGAGUUAUUUCUUGCUUCUAAAUCUACGGCUGCUCGCCACUCUUUAAAGAGAAUGCCAAUAUUGUACUUAUCCCAGCUUGUGUUUGCCUGAGGCCAAGAGAGAUCUAAGCCUUGAAAGCCAUAAAGUCUUCCUAUUUUUAUUGAGGAGUCAAUGAAGGAUUUCCUAGAAGAAGGAUUGCUCGCCAUGGAAGAAUAAGUUGAAUAGUUUGCAUCAUUUCCUCCGAUGGAAAGAAGUGUAGUGAUUGAUGGGUUCUUUAUUUUGACAGUGUCAGUGAAGUUAGAGAAUUGUUUUUCAUCAGAAGGUGAUAAAGAAAGCUCAUAGGAAGUUGAAUUCGUUGAAACAAAAACAAACGUUAUGCCUUUGAUCGUGCAUUUCCAAAUAAACACAUAUUUUAGGUAAUUCCGAAAUUUACCACGAUCUCCCAUGAAUCCGAACUUGCAGCUUGUUAUGGAGCUUCAACAGAGUUGCUGCUGCUUCGGUCUAGCUUCUGAAUUCCGCUUUCUUUUCCUUCAGCUCCAGAUUCGGCUUUUCUCAGUAAGUUACUGUACACACACGGGAGAGAAACGGGAGAGAGAGAGAUGCACUGCACUCAUGCCAGAGAUUUCUUGAACAGUCAACUUCCAAUGGGCUGAAGUUACUUAAAUACAGUGGUUGAGCGCAGGGAACCCUCAUGUGUUAGUACAAAAUUACCCAUCCCAUUAUGGGCUUAAAUAACACAAUUAAGGAUAUACUUGUCCAUAAUAUACUACUGUACAGGGUAUGUCAAAAUUAGACUCAUUAACACCAUAUUUGAUCACUUAAUAAAUGAGUCUGUCAAAAUUGCUCAACAAUAUUUGACUUUAGUCACGUAUUAAUUCGGUAAAAUAUAGAAAAUAAUUAGAAUGAUUUAUGUCAGUCCACAUAAUGUGAGAAAUAAAUCUAACAGAAUUGACAUUAGCAAAACCACAUAUAAGGUGAGUGAAAAGAGCAGAAUUUACAUCUGAAACGGGGAACCCGUUGCCUGAAUCCCAGUAACCAGCUCUGAUUAAAGUUUGUGUUCCUGCAGGAAGCGAUUCUGAAAAUAUAAAAAUGUGGAGGACAAGAAUGAUAAUUUUGGAUGCCAUUGUGGGAACCUAGCUGCUUUGAGGCAUACCUAGUAAGUGAUUACAUAUAUAUGUACACACACAAUGUAAUGGAGAAAAUAUCCGAUAGCGAUUGAGAUUAGUUAUUGGACUAUAAUACA